rnacentral:lncRNA from 1 species
UUUUUUUUUUUUUUUUGAGAAACGUUUUUCAGGUUUUCUUCUAAGAUUACGGAGGGGGAGACAUUGGUUAAUUAGGGUGUUUAUUUUAUUUUAUUUUGCAAUACUAAUUGGACAGAUGCUGGAUCCAUGAUCGAUGACAAUGAUCUACAGAUUUUAAUUAUACUAUGACUUUUUCGUAGUCCUGUUCCGUUUAGGAGCGGAGGGCUAUGGCGUAGUAAGAUCACAUGUUCGAAUUGAAAAACGUUUUUGUUUUUUAAUUAUUGUUUUCUGUUUUUUUGCGUGAUGGGUUCAUAUAUAGGUCAAUGACUUGUGAUCAUCUUUUUGGAGGGAAGGACAAAAUGAGUCACUUCUGGUUAUUCCUGGCUCCUUAAUGAGCGUCGGUAUGUUCAGCUACCUAAAGAAAAAGUUAAAAUUCCGUCCAAUUCACCCCAAUAGUCAAGAAUCAGACGAUCGAGAGAAAAAACAAAAUAGUUGCAGUCAAAUGAUGGAGGUAUAGAUUCAAAGAUAUGGGCUUGCCUCUUUUAUUAUUUAUUUAUUUAUUUUGUAUGCAAGUGCAUAAAUUUAAUUAUCAAUGGCCUCUUAUUUGAUUUAUGAUUUAUUAAGUGAAUAAUAGAAGGGAAAGAAAUGUAAGUGAGAGACAAACAAUAAUGUUUGAAUGUUUAUCAAUAUCUUCUAAUCAUACGGUUUCAUACAUGAUGAUGAAUUAAUGGUGAGAAAUCACAUUGAUAUUUUCAAAAAUUUUCAAUAAUUGAAUUUUUUUUUUUUUUUUACCAAAAACGAAUUAAACUGCAUCAGAAGAACUACAGGAUUACAUAGAUAGAGAAACUUUCGAUUCUUUUUAACAGAAAAUAAACAAAUAACUGCUUACAUCUCGAAUUAAAAAGUGGAAAAAGAAAAGACAAAAGUGGAACUAUACAUGAAAAUACCAAAUUAAUUUGGCAGGAGACAUAAACAGGACAUCGCUCGUUUGCCUCAACCUUCACUUAUUAGGACAAAGCAAUUCUGUGGGACAGCUGCAAUGGAAAGCAAUAACCCUCCAGAUUUGGUAUCGUCUCCCUUACUUGUUUAAAAUUUAAAUACUCAAAGUACAGGUUGUUGGUGUCGUUUAACAAGAAGAGGAUCUCAUCCAUUUUUAUAAAAAAAAAAAAAAAAAAAAACCCAACAGUGGGGAAGUUGGAAGUGCAAAUGGCAGUGGGCAUUGAUACUAUAAUAAUGCCUUCAAUUAGGCAGCUCGUUCCAUAUCUUCUGCCUGACGAGCAAAAUCGGGAACCCAUUGUUUAUGCCACUGGCUCAUUAGGAAUAUUUUGGGGGGGGGGGGGGGGGGGCAGGGCACAGCGUCCCCCUCUGCCUCCCUAGUGGAUACUUCACCAACCUCAGUUUUUAAUUCGCAUGCAGAGAAGCUUUUGCUUUUAUCUUUUUAGUUUUUAUUUAUUGGUGGCUCUCUCAAAGAGGGGGUGGGGUUUCUCUAAUUUUACUCUUUUUCGUUAUUUAGGAAUACUUUUCUGUGCCUAUAUAUUAUGUUGAGCAUAUAUAUAUACAUAUCAUUACCAGUGGCAUAUAUACUUUUCUUGUCCCUGCAUGAUUAACGGUUUCCUGCCUCCGUCUGACUCUGCACAACGUAUAUUAUUGUUCCCGGAAAAAAUACAAGAGCACCACUCUAGCUACAGGGGCAAGAUCGGGGAACCGUGCGUGUGUCCAUGCUUGAAAUUGUCCUCAUACUAGACGUAGAUAAGUAGUAAUCUCUAAAAAUCAAAGCCUCUAGUGACAAAUCCGUAAUCACACAAAGCUUAAGACAUCAAGAAUUGACGUCUCUAGGGCAAAAGAGCUACUGUAGAAUUUGUCGAGGCUGGUGAGAUUACCUUUGUAUGCUAACUAGCUAGUAAAGCUCUCCGUGAAGCCCUUGCUUGUAUCAGUUGCUUUCCUAGUUACUCGGACCGCUACCUACCAUGAGUUUCAGUGCUAUAUGUGCUUCCUUUAAGCACCAAAUUCUUUGAACUGAUAUCAGUUUCACGCAAAUAAAAUUAGAUGGAUUCUCCAUAUGUGUUCUUCUCUUCAUAAUUAAUUUGAAGACUUAGCUCAAUAUGGGGAUGGAACAGAGGUCGGCUACUGGUGUUCUUGUUGGCUUAUUCACUUUGAUUCUCAAUUUAGAGCUUCAUGUCCAAAAUAGUAUAAGUUAUGAUUUACAUGAACUUGAGCAGGGUAGAAACGCGCUGGAACUGCAUUAAAAAAAAUACAUGGAGCUUUUUUAUUGAAGAGUUACCAACUUAUCAUACAAAACCUCCAAAGCUGCCCGUACCUACCUGGAAUCCACUUCCCACUUACAAAAAAUGUGGCCAUGGUCCGCGGGUAGAAUUCUGUCCUUAACUAGACCAAUCGCAGAAUCUAUGUUGUUUGACCUGCUCGCAAUUCCUGCGUUUUACUGUAUAUUCUAAUUUCUAGCUGAUAAGUUGCUCCUCAAGAAGAGCUUUACGUAUUCCAGAAAGUCAAGUUUUGGCAAGAAUAGCAGUUGAAGGAGUCCAAAUUUUCGUCACUGUAAAACAUAUAAUAUUACACACAAGAAGAAGUACCGCCUUACUUUUUUUAAAACAAUACUAGUACAAGGAACACAAGUACCGCCUUAUUUAGUUGGUAUAAAAAUCUUCUGAGUUUGCUCAGACAAUAAGCACAUAGAAUCAGUGUUCUAGAGAUCAAACAAACAUUAACACAACUGAUCAUUGUUUAUUUUGGUUCGACUCGUAUCUGCUCCUAAUUCUUGCUCAAUUACUACAAGACUGAGGAAACCUUUUUCAAGAGUGAGGUAAAAGAAAAGUGGGAAGAGAAGACAAAAGAAUAAUUAAGCCUAAUAAAGCACUCACUCACAGGUUGUCCUGUUUUUGAUUAGCUAGGAUUGAAGAGCUAAGAACUCAAGGUUCCUGACACACAACUGUCGACAGGUGCAAACCGAAAGAAAUAUUGUAGCCAAAACUGAAGAGAUAAAAUCAAUAAUUUGUAUGUUGUAUUAUGACAUGCAUAUUUGAAUUUACAAGCUGUAUAAGAGUUGCCUUUAUAUGUCCCAUCAUUACAAAUCUCUGCAGAAAAACAAAAAUAAAAGAAGGUACAGACUCAAGUAGCACAACCACAGGCGCAUUUGAUUUGAAACCCAAAAAAAAAAAGAAAAAGAAAAAAAGAGGAUACAUCAAUUCAAGCGCGGCAUAAUUUACUAAGGUAGGGUCAUCCAAAGUUUCCAUGUACACAAACAGUUUAUCUCCCUUGCUGGUGGCUUAUUUCCCAUGUCAGCUCCUCAACAUUUUAAUGGAAUUGGAUUAUCAGAUUCCCUUUGGCACCAAUCUCUUCAUCUUCCCUUCUUUUCUGUUUCUUUCUUAUACUCAGGCUCUCGGUCAUAUAUUGAAAUCUAACUAAAAAUUGAAAGAAUCAAAACAAAACUGCAAAAAAAAAAAAAAAAAAAAAUUUCAACCACUUGAUUACAAGAUAAAGAUGAACUUGCUUCUAUGAUUUAAUUUGUUCGGUCAUACCAGGGAACAGGAUGUUAUGACAGGUGAAUAAGCUACCUUAUUCAGCUUUCUGAUUAGUUAUCACAAAUUGAUCAAGCUGACCUCAAACUAUAGAUUAGCCAGGUACAUUCUUGCUAUUGUGAUGGUCAUGAAUCUUUAUUGAUCAAGAAAUAAGCGAGUGCACAGGAAUCAAACAAUCCCUACUUACAUCAAUCCUAUCACUAUUACAGUGCACAAACUCAAUCUUGCUGGAAACACACAUGAGAUAAUCCGAGCUCCAUACUUAGCUCCCAAUUGGCCUUGGUCAGUGAGACUCCUCUCCAACUCACAACAGUAUUCCUAACUGAUUCAGGGUCCAUAGAUGGUGGUCAUGAACUUACAUAAACGUCGGUCAUAAUUCGUCAAAAUGAGCUGGUCCCAAUUUAGUUUCUAGGUUUUCCUUCUAGGUCUCUUCUGGGUGGGAGGGGAGAAUGCGACCAACAGCAAAUCACAAACCAAAAAAAAAAAAAAAAAGAGGGGAAAAAAAAGAUACUAUAUGCAUAAAAUGUGCAAGCAAUGAGAGAGGAAAAACAUCUUUAUAAUCACUUGGUCAGUUAACGGAACGGUUCAAGCCUGCAAGGGACAUCACGAAAAACUGGAAUGAAUAGAGAAAGUGCCACAGCCAGUACAAGCUAGAAGUUGUCAUUCAAAGCCAUGGUCCAUAGAGUUUGUGAAAUUGUCAUCGAGCCCAAGCCUGAGGUUACUGCUAGUCUCUAGACAAAUAUUAAGAUGGAGAGUUACUCAAGACUCGGGAGGGUUAAUCGCAUUCAUCAGUUGGUGUUGCAGCGCCAAUGUAUCUAUACUUUUCCGACCAUCAGUAACCUGCAAGGUUCAAUUUAUUCAAAAAGGUAAAUCAUCGUUGAGAAUUUGGGAGAAAAAAUGAUAUAUAAAAGCCCAAAACAUGGAAUUUUUGGUACCUCCGCCAGAAUCUUAUGGACUUUGAUCUCAUUAGUUGCUGUGGAAACACAGCUCACAACAUCGAGCCCUUCACCAAGCAACAUUUUCAGCACUCUCGAAAUGGGGAAAGUUUCCUCCUUAGAACUAAUGGAGAUCAAAACCUCCACCCCAUCGCCGCCUUGGCUCACCCUCACAAUCGCACCACAAUCACGCAAACACCGACUAUCGGCACUUGUGCUUCGAUUCCCAGAGCUAAAACUAAAAGUAGAACUCAAAUUACAAGGCGGGAUCAUGAGCCUGUCUCUCCGUGACCCCAGUUGGUUGAUGUUUUUCUGCAGACAUUUUAUGUAAUUCACGGCCUCCUGCAUGUGAUCAGAUAUCGCCCGCUUUCCCUGCAAUUGAUUUUUAACACCCUUAGCUCCAUAAUAGUUUCAAGAAGUCAUGACUUAAUACUCUGUGUGUAAAUUGGUAUGAGAGUGAUUGCUUUCUUCUGCUGUACUGAGAGAGAGAAAUUUGUCAAAGAUUGAUAAUGAUCAAUUAAUCCGCGCUAUGCAGUACUGACACUUGAUCAAAGACGCAUAUCCAUGCAAUAUUCUUUAUGCAAAAACUAAUAAUCCAAAAUCAUGGGGAAAGGAGUACAAGGGUGCUCCUCUGUGGUGGGUCGGGUUCUUGAUAGUAUUUAGUAUGUACCUUAACAUAGUCAAGGGGCAGGAGGGAUCGAAGGGAAGCAUAGAGGUUGGCCAUUUCUCGCCUUCUCUGGCGUUCGAUGUCUCUAUGAAGAAUUCUCUUGAGCUUGUGCUGGUUACUAUUAGUGGUAGUAGUAUCCUCAUGAUCUUGUUUUUUGUUUUCUUGCUGAAUUGCCGGGAGGAAUCUCCGGUGGUGGUGCUUCUUUCCGGUGAUACUGGUGGCUGGAGGCAGACUGGCAGUACUCUCAAGGGUGACCAGAUCGUUAAGGAUUUUGUCCGGUUGGCAGGGUCUACAAGGGUUUUGGUUUUCCAGCUCAUUGCCUUGUUGUAAAGGAUACAUAUCUAAUCCCCGAAGAUCAGCCCAAUCUUGGGUUCAUUCCCGGCGAUUGAUUAAACUCACUCACUCACUCCCUCCCUCUCUCUCUCUCCGUAUAAUAGUGGGCAUUUGAUUUGAAAAAAAGCAGACGAGAUGCGUUAGUUAAGCGGACGAGAUCUUCAACGGCCCUCAGAUGCAAUAAUUAGUAAUCUCUGCAACUAAUAUCUGUCUUCGCUUCAUAAACAAGGCGAUGCAAGAAUCCUUAAGACUCAAUUAAGCAGCGCAAUCUUUGUUUAUUCAUGAAUUAGGUAUAGCACCACCCCAUUUCUCUUCUUAUUUUAAGUCCGAUGUUCAGUCACUCGGGUACCGUACAAAUACAGGACCAAGAACCCCACUAACAUGUUCACACCAGGUCGUUGAUAGAGGACUAAUGGUAUGGAUAUGGACCAUCCUAUUACAUGAGGAAUGGGGGCAAUACAUGACUAAGUAAUAUGUUCCUUUAAUCAUCUGCUGAAACCGUUAACAUCCUUAACCUAACAAGAAGGGUAAGUUUCAUCCAUUUAACACGUUGUAAUAAUUUGUGAUUUUUAUGUCGGAAGAUAAUUGUGGACUGUGGAGGCAGAAACCAGUGCCAAUUCCUAGUUUUAUUAUUAUUAUUAUUAUUAUUUUAGGGCCAAGUUACAGCGCGUUUAUAUAAGAUGUACUGGAAUUAGCCCAUCAUUUUGCAUGGUUGUAGGUUGUGAAUGGCUAACAAAUUAUAUAUUCAUGGCUUAGUUUCUCAACUUGAGGACAAAAAUUGAAUUGAUUAUCUCCAAAACCCAACUCAAGUUCGUAAAAAAUAUUAAUAUUAGUCAGGUGAUCAUCGGAUCGCCUCUUCAAGUUCUCCUCCAUUUUUCUUUUUUAUGAGACUAGAAAAAAAUUUCAACUAACUAUAUCUAAUUUAGAAUCGGGAGAGGCGAAUUUAAGCUAUGCUGUUCUAAAUGUACACUCAAUGUUCUCAAACUCUGUCCGGACUAUUUGGUCGAAUCAGUUGAACCGUCGACCGAGUUAUUUUUUUGAAUUAGGUUAAGGCUCAAAUAAAAGAAGUGGUCUGUUAGGUUUAAACCAGUUAGUUUGUCCGGUUGAUCUAAGGAUCAUCGAACCAGAACGGUUCUUUUGAACUGUCCGGGUCUUGCUUCCCCUUUGACAGCUGCGGUCCCUAACUUGUCCGACAUCGUCUGCCGACAUCAAAUUCUAAAUAUUUUUUCAUCAACAUCCAUCAAUCAAUUAAGUGUGAAUUUAGAAAAGCCGUUUUGGUGGUCUAUAUAAUACGGAGUAAUACAUUAUUUAUGGCAUAUUUAUAAUUAAUGUUAUAGAUUAACAAUGACUCAAAAACAAUUAGGUUAACAGUUGAAUCAGUCAUUCUUGAUCCAUUAAGAUUUUCGAUUUAACGAACGAGUUAGGUGUUGAAACCUUGUGUGUAGAAUGUUUUAGUUUCAAUACGAGAAAAUGUCCAAAUUUAGAAUGAAGGGUGCGGAACUCCAUUCUUUUUCAACCUGUUUAGAAUGUCUUCUUGUUGAUUUUGCAGCUUUCCUGGUUGGCAGAUAUUGAGACAUUCAAAUGGAAAGACGAGUGACACCAAGGCAGGGCUUCUGCAUAUGGAAAAUGUCAUGGUACUGUGCAUAAUUGUGGAAAGAUCCAGUUCUACGAAAAAUGUAGAAGGUAACAUCAUGAAUAUAUCAGCAAGAUAAAGAACAGCAGAAAACAAAACAAAAAAAACCCCCGGAAAACAAGAUAGCAAAAGUUCACCACAACAAUGAAUGGCAUUUACUAUGAGCUUGAGUCUUUUAUAAUUCUUGUAUUUAUAUUUUGCAUUCUGAUUUUUUUUGUCAUGAGGCAACGCUUGAUGCCUUCAAUUCGGACAUUGAAAUACUAACAAUCACUUGGCAAGGAAAAUAAUUACGUUCGCAUUGUGAUUUUCAACAGAAAAUUUAUUAUAUUUUUCAUGAAUACAUUUUUUUACCUUCCAUAUAUUUAAUUGUUAUAAUAUAUUUUUCUGAAAAAACUCCUAAAAGAAAAAGGAAUUCAAGUAUUCUUUCGUUUGGUUUAGACGACAUGCCCAAAAACAAAAAACACUUGGUUAAGCCUAUUCUUGUCCACGUGAUAAAUCCUGCAAUGUCAACCACUACUUGAUUAGUCAUCCUUCUCUAGAGCCAUACGACAACUCUUGUUGUAGAAUUAAUCACUGACCAUGCCUGCAUGUUAUUAUGUCUGUCGCACGAACCAUAUUUAUACAUCAAUUCUCCAGUACUAGCGCUCCUAUUAGCACUCCAAGGUGAAUAUAUAUAUAUAUACACACACACACAGACACACAGAAAAAGGACAUUCGGGAUAUUAUAUAUGUGGGUCAGGCACCCGAUAUGAAAUUGCCGAGCGAUUUCCUCCUUUUUGAAAGCAUAAUAAUACAUUAUUAAGGAAGUAAUCAGUGACGCAGAGAAUGAGAUCAUCAGUGAUCGGACUGCCGUCAACUUUGCAUUGGAAAUGAUGCAUUGCAGUGGUAAUUCCACACAGCACAGAGUGAGAUAAAGUUCUGCCGUCAAUUCUGAUCCGUUGGCGAUUCAAUCUCUUUUGAAUUAUUUUGAAUCCCUUUACAUUUGUCUCCUUUCUCUAAUAUACUCCCUCCCUUCUUUUAUAAUAACUGACGUUUAAGGUUUUACACAUUAAUUAAGAAAAUUUUUUUAUUAUUUAAAUCUAUAUACUAUUUUUCUUUUAUACCAUCAUUAAUUAUCCAAUUCACUCAUAUUUUCUCUCACUAGAGUAUUAAAUGGUGCUGUUUUACUAGGCCAAAAGUAAAGAGAAAAAUAAUAAUUAUUAGGAGUAGUAAUUAAGAGUCCUGUAUUGAUAAAGAGAGAUAAAAUGGCAAAAUUAUGAAAAAAUAAUUAAUGCUGCAUGGGAAUAAUACAACGACAAAUAAAAGUACUUAAGAGCAAAUUUCUUAAACGUCAGUUAUAAAAAAAGGAAGAGAGUAUAAUGAAUCAAAUUUCUAGUGUAAGAUAGAUUAAAUUAUACAAUAAUUAUCAUUUCUAACCAAAAAAAAUAAAAAAAUAAAAGUGCAGUGCAGUGCAGUGGUAAUUCAUCCAUCAAAACCUUCGCGUUGGUGGGCUUUGUCAUGAUAUCUCAAAUUAAGUACUCACUAUGAAGGGGAGAUUAUACGGUCUCGUUUAUGUAACACGUCAAACUUAUAAGUUGAUUUGCAGACCCUUUUGCCAAAAAAUUGUUAACGAAAAAGUUUUAUAAAAAGCAAAUAUUCGUAGCACUUCUCAAUAGUUUCCUUUCUAUUUUUUUCGAAGAGCUCAAUAGUUUCCUCAAGUCUCUCUCUGAUAGGGUUGCCUAUACCCCGUACCUAUAUAUACAGUUUAGAACAAUAAAAGUAGGCUUUAUAAUUAAAGAGAGAGAGAGAGAGAGAGAUCGCCUGGCAUUGCAUAAACCAUAAAGACGAAAGAAAGUAAUGGCCUUAUUGUAUGUUUCCCAGCUGCCUCUUGAUUGGAUGCCUGAAUUGAAGAAAUCAGGGCAUGAUUGAGGCCCCGGAGACAGUGAAUACAAUAAUCCGCCUGUAUCUGUCAUACAUACUAGUGAUGGGUUGGUUUUCUUCUUCAUGAAUUAUUGGAAACAUAUGUUACUACCUGUCUGUCUAUAAUAACCGCACCGGUUGUGCAAUUUUUUUCCCAACUAUUUUACCUACUUCUGUGUUUGGAGGGAAGUCUAAAUAGAGUUGUAUGAUGAGUGGGAAACAAAUCAUUAGACCAGAUAAGUGUAUUACUCCCUCCUACCACCCACGUUAAUAGUUCCUUAUUUUUUUACACAAUUAAAAAAAAAGUAGUUAACUUUGUUGGAAAAAUAAAUUUAGAUUGUUAUUUUUCUAAAAUACUCUCACAUUAAAUAGAGUACAAUUUUAUGGGAACUUGAAUUGAUGGUAAAAAAAGAAUCAAUUCUCAUUAAAUAGAGUAGGUUUACAGUAACAACAACUUACAUUAAAUAAGUGUAAUUUAGAAAAAUUAAAAUACAACUACAUUCUUCAAUUGGAAAGUGAACUACAAUUUGAGACUGAUGAAAAAAAGAAAACAAGACUAUCAAAGUGGGACGGAGGGAGUAUUACACUUUUUGAAUUUUUUAAGAAUAAGAAGUGCUAUACUUCUUGUAUAAUACACUACGCAAUCUCCAAUUUAGUGCAUCGAGAGAGAGUUUUAUAGGAAUUCUCCCUGAUGAUUCUGCAGUGAAAAUUCAAAAUAUUAUUGAUAUUACAAUUUGAUUUCUUGCCCCAUGCACACACCAUUCAAUGAUUCAUAUAUCAUGCUUGGUCAGCAUUAUAUAUAUAUAUAUAUAUAUAUAUAUAUAUAUAUAUAUAUAUAUAUAUAUGUACAUUUAUUAUCAUAGGGCAACAAGUUGCAGAUACACUUGCCCUUAUGCUAUGAAAAAGGAGACAGAUACAGCUAGGUCAUUUGAAAUUGAGGAGAUUAAAUUCCUUUCGGAUUAAAUGGGUGCCUUUUGGUGCCAACUAAAUUUGAAGAAAUCAUAUAAAAAUGAUAAUUAAUUUGAAACAGGGCUUGAAAUUUUGACCUUUCAUAGCAUAAAGACCCUUAAGUGCCUGUGUGGUAACCUACGGUCCGUUGUGAAGGGACCGUUGGAGUCACAGAAGUUUUGGCAAUAGGAAGACGACACAUCACCGGGUGCUGCUGACAAAUCUUAUCAACUCUCUUCGUGAGAAAUGGCUCCUAGUACUAUUAUGGACUUUUUUAAAUAAUUAAGCGAGAUGACAAAUCAUUUUGUAUAUCUGUAUAUGGUUCAACUUCAACCAAAACCGAAAGCGUUGAAGGAAGCUGGUUCCAGGCUGUCCCUUUCUGGAAAGCAGGGAAUAAUUAGAGGAGAGAGAGAGGCAUAGCAUAAUUAGCAUUCCAAUUUCGAUUGAUUACUGUGGCUUUUAAGUGCGUUUGGUCCAAUGGCAGAUUCUAAGAGAAAUCUUUGAAAAUCCCAAAAAGGUUGCUACUAGUAUUAAGCAUGUUGCCUUCGAGAAAGCUGAUGGGCAGCAUUCAGCUACUUAGCGGCAGAGAGAGAGAGAGAAGAGACCGAGUUCUUCUCUUCUUUUUUUUUUUGGGUUAAACUUUAAACAGGCUAGGGUCCUCAUGGACCAUGAGUAGGGUUAUCAGCAAGGUUAAUGGGAAGGACUAGCAGCCACUAGACCAGGAAGAAAACCUGCAUAUAUAUGACAAGUGUUAGGUUCUAACCAAUUACUAGUAAUUCGUUUAAGUUGAAUGCACUGAUCUAAUGAUCAGGAAGGAAGUGCCAUUUAAAACUCUUUUGUGCGUUAGAUCAAGCAUUUAAACCCUGUCUAAUGCAUUACAAGGGAGCAUAAUUCUCCCUUACUCUUAAAAAAUUCGAAGCGUGCAAUAGUACUGUGUUUUUAAUCCGACCUGGUGAUUCAUUCUCGAACUCCUAUACAAAUAAUUUUAGGUUCUCCCUAUCUAUCUAUAAUGUAGGUUAAUAUAAGAGUAGAAUAGAUGAUGUCAUUGCGGGAAAAAAAAAUCAUUUAGGUUGAAUGAGAGGCAAAUGUACACUAAAGAAAUAUAUACAGGAGCAGUAAUAACAUUGUGUAGGAAUUAGGAUUUCAGAUGCUGAUCCAUUUUGUAAGAUUUUUUUUUUUUUUUUUAAGAAAAAGAAGAUGUGGGUAUUUUUUAGGGAGCACACUUUGAAUCAGGUAAUGUCUAGUAGAAGGAUUAUCUAACUAAAAUUUGUUGUCUUUUUCAUGAAAACUAGUACUACUGCGUUACGUUCCACAAAACCUGCCGUCGUUGAGCUUUUCUCCUUCUAGCUGUGAAGAUUUUCGUCUCCAGCGAGAUUUGAACAUCAUCAUCAUCAUCUUGAAAAAAUAAUUGUGAACGUGCAGAAACCAACGAUGCACUGCUGACUGAUUGGGACGCCAACAAAACAACAAUGAGUAAUUAACCAACGCAACGUGGAGAAAACUACACCGCAGAUGGGCUUCCAUGGUUCGUUCUAUCUAUCCCUUUCAUCACGGAGAUUGCAGCCACUACCUUACUACACCACAUUUGCACCACGUGGAGAUGGAAAAGCACAUAAUUAUUAAGGUCAAUCGCCAUUCUCCUACUAUUUGGGCAUGCUGUUUAUCUCCCCCGGCAAAGCUUGCGAAUUACCCAAGUCUGGUCCCUUGGAAGUGGAGCAUGCCACCGACCUUCCUGCCGCCGUAUCAAAAGACGACAAACACAACGAAAGACUUUUAACCAAUUCAAUCAUCGAGGAUGACAUGCCAACUUCCAAGAAUGAAACGCCAAAGCAGACUCUUUCCAACAAAUAGUUAAGAAAUCGCUAAUAAGAAGGAAACUCACUUGAGUAAUCACAUCCAAGCAAUUAUGACUGGACAGACAUUCAAUAGACCUUAUACACUCUCACUCGACUACUUCCUAGAUCGAUGUGGGAGAAACGGAGAGGGGAAACACUCGACAAAUUAGCGGCCAGCUAUUACCACCUCGUCAUGACUCUUGCUACUUUUCAACAAAUAGUUAAGAAAUCGCUAAUAAGAGGCACCACUAAAUAACCACGUCCAAGUACUUGCUGACUGAUCAGGCACUCAAUGGAUCUUAUACACUCUCACUCGACUACUUCCUAGACUGAUGUGGGAGAAAGGGGGAGGGGAGAAACGCCCAAGCAGACUCACUCUUCGGACCAUCUUCCUACUCCUACAGUAGUACCUGUGCGCGGGUAUAUACACAAUUUUUUAUACAAGUUAAUUUUAUAUACGCUAGCUAACAGAGUAUAUAUUUAAGUUCGAUUCAGAUUACUUGUUGUCAUAAAGUCAAUGAUAAUAUAUAGACCGUAAAUCUUUUGAUCAUUUCAAUAUAUAAUAUCUUAUAUAAAACGUGGGGACUGAAUUAAACAAAAAAGAAAUGUGGUCUUCCCAGCUGCUGAUUGAUUGGCUAAGAAGGUUGCUCCUCCACGACACUCGGGGCCAUUCACCGCUAUUGCCGGCGUUCUUAACAUGCUGGUUUGGGUUCCUCACCAGUCUGUAGGCCUUAUCUUUGUUCUUAACCAAGACAUAGCGAGAUAUUGUCGCCUGCCUCAUUUUUCUGAAACCCCAACUGUAGUUUUCACAAUCCAAUUACCUCCUCAUUGCAACUCGAUGCACCUAGGAAUCAGAUGACUAUAUACUGCACUCUCAUAGUGAACAAGGUUUUUGAAUCCAAGCUGAGUUUUGUCAUCCUCUUCUGGACUACAAAGCGAUUUAACUCAGUUUUUACGCGGGCAAGGAAACAACAAUUUGGAAAAUGGUCCAAGUUCAAAUCAAAAACACUUGCGUCAAUUCGCCAGAUCAGAUUCAGAGCAACAUGCAUCCCCAGUCAUCCAAUAAUAUGUAACCGAUAACAAGCCGCAAGAUCUUUCCUAUGGAUUCAUAAAGACAGAGUAUCUGUACAAGCAAUAAAAAUGCAGAAGAGGAGAUCCUUUACAAGCCAAUUCAAUGUCAGCUUGUUUAAACCGGGCUGAAAUCAUGAGAACAUUCUUACGUGUAAGUUCAUUCUCCAACCGGGCUGAGAUGAACAAAGAUCCAUCAAUCAGAAAUCAAUUUGGUAACGAGCAUUUCACAUCCCUGUGAAUCAAUAUGAACUGCCACAAUUUUUUCCCUGCCCAUACUAUAAAGCAAAUCAUUCUAUACACACCUGGAUAGCCAAAGUUAAGGAUGUAGUUGGUGCAAAAUUUUGAAAUAAAUUAUAUUUAGCAGCAUAUGAACUCAGUAAAUAUACCGAGUCCAGUUGAACAACUGAUAGCUGAUCAAGAUAAUGAACAAGACUGAGCUAGAAGCCACAUGAUCAAGCACAGAUACCGUAUGCCUGGACUCCAGCAAACUUCUUACCAGAGACAUAUAAUGUCUGUUAAUUUCAAACAAAUCAUAGGCUUAUAUGCAAUAAAAAAAGGGCAAGUGAAUAACAAACAUAGUGCUGCUAUUGUUUUCCGGAUACAGUAAAGCAGAUUUUUGAGAAGUGAUUCUUCCCAACUUAAUAGAUUUUCUUAAUUAAGUAAAGCUAUUGCCCCCUCCUCCCCCACCCAAAAAGGAAAACCCAAAAAGACCCUCUUUUCUCCAAAUGAUUGUCAUCCUGAUUGCAGAUAGCUUUUGCAGUUGCUUCCUCCCAGUUCAUUCCUAAAAUCUGACAGGUUUGACCCCACUUUAAAUUGCUUUUACGCUGAAAGUUCACGUUUUUUAAAAUAACAGUCAAGAAGUUUCAGGUAAAAACCAUUCAAACAUGCAAAUCGAUCGAUGAACUUCAUCAACCAACAAAAUAUUCUUGGAAAGACAAAGUUCUCCUUCACGUCAGUCAUGUUCUAGUAGCCUGACAUGUACACAAUUGACACAGUAUAACCAUGGGAGACUGCAAAAAAUUCAAAUGGAAGUACAGAAUGGUAACGUUUAAAUUUUAGAAUUUGAAAAGAAGAAGAAGAAGAAGAAAAGAGAGACAUGGAGAGAAGAUAUACACGGUUUGGUUUUUCAUUUUAUUGUAGCUGCAGAGCAUUUGACCUAUGGUAACCUUCCCUUGAUAAAUACGAGAUCAACCGGAUAUGUACAAAUGAUAACAACAACAAUAAGAAGCACAAGAAUUUAGGUAUCAUGUUAAAUUUAUUAUGCUACCCUAAGGGAUAAUGCUAGGUUGAGAGGCAAGGACCAUACAUCUAGAGGUUGUCACUUGCAGACAGCAAAAAUGAGAUCUUAACUCAAUAUUGGUUACUGUCAGGUCAUGCAGAAACAGAUGGUAAUUCCAAAAAUGGAUAUCACAAGAAAGAUUACUGAAUUUAGAAUACAUCUAAUGCAACAUGAAGAAUUAAUGAGGUAAUACAGAAGUAUCUUACAUUCAAAACUGAAGGCACGCCUGCAACUGGAUGCUUUUUGUACACAACGAAUAUCCUAAAGACAAAAAUUCACUGUACUUGAGUCAGCAGCCAAUGAUGACGAAUUAAGAUAUUCUCCCCGUCUUAGAAAAAGGAUCAUCUGAAGAAUCUAUCCAGAUUUCUUCACUGCUCUGUCUGUUAUGUAAGACCAUGCGAGCUUUCAAGUAUGAUUACCGUGAGCACCAUAUUAAAGCACUCAGAAGCUCUGAAGAGCCUCUCUAACAGUUAUUUAUGAGGAUGCUGAUGAUUAAUCCAGGCAAAACCCAAGCAAUACACAUGAAGGAAAAACGUGCAGCCCAAAGACCUCAUGCAAUAGUGUAAAAGCAUGUCAUUUGGGUUGUGCUCGCAUUACUGCAUCAGACUGGAAUUUUCAAAUCAUUUUACCCCACUGAAAUGGAGGGUUUGACAUGAAUUGUUUCUCAUGAAAGACGGAGAAACUCAACCUGCAUCCCUGUUGUUAUUAAUUAGCAUUGUGCAACAAACACCUGGCGAUCCUGAACAUGAUAUGUUAAGUUGAAAUGAGUCAAUGCCUCUCAAUGAAAAACAAAUUUAGAAGCUAUAAAUGUAUUGUACAAGAUUGUUAGAUCAAGAAGAAAUCUUCUCAUCGGGUAAAUUCCCAUCUUUUUCCUUCACAUGUUACAUGAGCAGGAACAAUUUCCCAGAAAAGAAUAUGGCUUUCGCCGAAAUUUGCUAUCAAACACAGAAUUCAUUGGACCCUUUUGCGGGACUUAUAAGGAAACCGGGAGGGAGGUGAAGGCGAAAAUUCUAUUGGAAGUUUUGGGGAUUCCAAGUCUCCGAGAGCACUCCAACCACCUCUUUCAUUGAAGGCCGGCGAGCAGGAGACUUUUGCAGGCAGAGCAGGGCUACAGUGAUGCACAGUAGAGCUUGUUCUUUGUCCAAAGAAUGUACGGAUUGAUCCACCAGAUCAAUAAGUUUUCCUGCACGUGCAAGAUGACGUGCCCAGGAUAAGAGAUUUGCUCGUUGGAACUCUGACAUUGGCGAUCCGCUCACUUGAAGCGGUCUACGCCCAGCAAUAAGAACCAGUAAGAGAACCCCAAAACUAUAGACAUCGCACUUCUCAGACAAGUCACCACCAACACCAUACUCUGGUGCAAUGUAACAAACAGUUCCUCUCAUACUAGGUGUGCUGCUAAUACCACCGCUCUUAGGAAUCUCCCCACUAGCAGAGUCAUAACUAUUCCUUCGAGCCCUCCAGAGGUCCCCGCUAAGUCCAUCCAACCACCAAUCCAUACUACUCUUACUACUCCUCCGACUCCGACUCCUUUUCUUCUUUUUAUCAGAAUACAUAUCGUCAUCCCUAGGCCACCAAUUCUCACUGUAACAGUCAUCACUCACCGAACCUUGCUCUAACUUUUUCUUCUUCUUCUUCUUCCGCUCAAGCUCUUCACAGUACUCCUCCCUCCACCAUUCCCUUGCUGGCCUCCUCUUAUCCUUCUUCACGUUCUUGUCAUCAUCCAACGACACCCACCAAUCUAACCGCCUCCGGUAUUUCUUCUUCUUCUGUUUUUCACUUUUCCCAACUGCUGCAGAAGUUGAUGAAGUCCCAAUCCAUUCACUCUUCGGCCUCUCUUUCUUAAUCUCAUUUCCAAUCCAUUCCAUCACAUAAUCCUUCACCACCCCCGAUUCAACGUCUCCAUUAUCUUGCUUCCACCACCAAUCUUUCCCAGAAAAACUCUGCUUCUUCUUUUUCGCAAUCUUACCCCCACCACUGCCCAAUUCUCCCCCACUCUGGACACCAUUCCUAUCAAAAUUAGCCGCUAAAACACUAUUCUCGUCCAAACCUUCCAGUGGAGUUGCCAUUGCAGCCGCUGUUCUCGGCGAGACCACCAUAGUUGUCUCCGGGGACAAUUCCGCAGUCAGCACCGUCUCCGGCGAAGCCUCCACCGCAACAAAACAACUCUCUGGGGACUGUUCCACACCCCCAUCACACCCAUCACAAACACUAGCCGUUAUCACACUCUCCGUCUCCUCAGCUACUGAUCCAUUAUCCUCCACCGCCCCAUUCACCGAAUUUCCCUCUUGUUUCACCUCAAUCUCAACCUGACCCUCAUCUGAUUUUAACCUUGCUAACCCAAAAUCGCCAAUUUUAGCAUCAAAAUUAGCAUCCAAUAGGACAUUACUAGGCUUAAUAUCACCGUGAACUAUAGGAGGAUCACAGAAAUGAUGCAAGUAUUCGAGCCCUUUAGCUAUAUCUAAAGCAAUUGAAAAUCGUUUGUUCCAAUCUUUUAAUUCAGCACACUUACGAUGCAAUAGACAAUCCUGCAAGCUUCCACUAGCCAUGAGCUCAUAAACGAGCAGCAUACGGCGUCGUCUCGGAUCAGAAGAAAAACCCAAAACAGAGACGACGUAUUUGGAGUCGAUUCUCCCGGCUAAAAACAGCUCGUUCUGAAACUCGCGCUCGCCCUGUAGGGACCCGGAAUCCAUGAGCUUAACGGCUACUUGGAUGCCAGGCUUAAGGGUGCCCGGUAGACGGAGCCGAAGCCACCUUGACCGAGGCGAAGGGAGGGGCAGAAGGCGGAGGUGGCCCGGCGGAGGGAGGAGUAGGAGAAGCGGUGGGGAGGCUUGGAAUCGGUGUCUGAAGAUGGGACGGUGCGUUUGCGGGAGACUUUGCGGAAACAAAAAGUGAAGAGAAUGAGGAGAGAGAAAGCGGCGGCGACGGAGCCGGAAAGAGGGGGUUCCAGGUGGUGGAGUGGCGGCGGCUGUGGCGUCGGCGGAAGUUCACGAGAAGGCAUGAUGGAUGAUGAAAAGUGAUCGGAGUGAAAAAUUGAUGGGAAUAUACUUUUCGUAGAUGUAAUUAGUCACCUAAAACAACUAACUAGCAAGAUUUAUUAGGAUCAGGAUCAAGUUAUUUAGUGUUAAAGAGAAAAAUGAAUUACUUUACAAUAAGUGACUCUCACGAACUUGAACUGCCUACUACUACUGGUGUGGUGGCUGGAUCAUUUCAUAGACUUUUACAGCAGAAAUUGACAACUUGGAAGUUGGAAAGUUGGAAAGAGAGAGAGAGAGAGCGUUGGGGUGGCUGCCCGCUUUACACCCACUAUAGCGUUUACAUGUCCAUUAAUUAAGGGGAAUUUAAAUUUAAAAUCUAUAUUUAUAUUUUACAAGUACAUCCUCCCUUUUAUUUUAUUCAUAUCAAGUUUAUAACUGUGGUGCCUUCUUUUUUCAAGUUAUAUUUACAAUUAUAUGAAAAUUGGAGUAUUAGAUUAAAAUCAUCAUGGGAGCGUGAUUAAUAAAAAUAAGAGUAUAAAUAAUAUUUUUAAAAAAUAUUUUGGAUGUUUAAAAUUGCAUUAAUUUUAAUCAUUUAAAUUUUGAAAUUUUGAAUCACUGCUGCCAUCACUAUAGAAUUUUACCAUUAUGUUUAUAAGAUGCCUUAUUUCGAGAGACAAAAAUAUAUAUAUACCUCUUAUAAGACGACUUGGUAAUGUCAUAUUAGUACUACCAUCAUAUUAGCGGCCAACCAGUCAUUAGCAUUUUAUAGAAUACGUUGCGGCAAAGUUGUAAAUACUUUUAUUCCUUUUUUUUCUUUUCGAAAUGAUAAGUGAUUUUAUAGAUUAUCAAAACUCUACAUUUGCUAGCAAAGGCUCAAGUGAUAUCUAUACACGCAAUGUACUCUGACACUGACACUGAGGAAUCCAAAGUUCCUCAUCUUCGAUUGUGCCUGCGGCAUAUGAGCUAAUUCUAAUGCUAGCAUGAUUAUAUUCUUUUCUUACUAAAUAAAAGGAACACGUUCGAAACAACACAACAAACUUAAUUGAUAAAUGUCCUCCGCCAAGGUUGCCCUGUAAAUACUCCUAUUCCAAUAGACUCGAUUUGUGGUUGAAAAAUUUCUUAAUAGAAAUUGGUAGCCCCAAAAGGGGAAAAAUGCAUUACCCUAUUGCUCAUGCAUGCCUGAUCGGAUACUUGCUGCAUAUUUAAAGAAAUUAAAUGUAAUGCUAAUUAUCCAUCUGUACCCAUCCAUCCAGAGACGGAGAGAAAAGGACUCGAAUCCACUACUUGACUAUUGUGAUUUCAAAAACUACCUCUGUUAGUUAGUCCUAUCAUUUUUGUUUUUUUUUAUUUGACAUAAUCUGUUAGUCCUAUCAUUGAAUCUCAAGUCUCUAAAGACAAAUCAGUCAGAGAGUAUUCCCUUCGCAUUCCUUUUCUUUGAUUUUGUCAGAAUUUGUGUGCAGACCUUUCCUGAGUGAGUAAUAGAUUUGGUGCAUGCUACUGAUCUAACCUUCUUGCAACUCGAGGGAUUCGUACUGCAAGUGAAGUGAUGAAGUCUGUCCAAACUGUCUAUUUUCCGUCAACGCCAUCGAUUUCGUUACUGAAGCAUCUGAUGGCUACAUUAUUAUUAUUAUUUAUUAUUUAUUUUUAUUAUUACUACUACUACUACAGUACUUCUACUGCAACUGCUAGUACAAGCGCUGUUCUCGUUUGCUUUAGAUUUUACAAAAAUUAAUUAUAAAAAAUAAUUAUAGAGAAUACUCAACAAAUUUAGUGCACAAUGUCAAAGCUAAAGCUGAUAAAUUAAGGCGAAACCAAUCAACCAACCAUGGGCGAAGUAGAUGGAAGACACAGAUUGGUUAAUCGUCACACUCGGCAAAAUAGAAAGAUGGGAUUAGUUGGGGGAGGUCGGUUGGUUUUUCCCACCUUCUUUGCUUUGCUGAGUUGAUUUCUCAUUUUCAAACUCCAAUGCCUGCUUGCAUUUAAGAUUCCCGUACCGCAUUGGUAAAGACACUAAACAUUAUUGAAAAUUUCAGUUUCCUAUGUUUGGUUUGACAAUCCAAUACCAUGAUGGUUUGGUUUAGUCAACUGAAUCGAAGACCUUUUACAAAUGCCGUAUUAUCAUUCUUUAAUCAAGUCUUAAUUGGGGGCAGAGAUACACGAGUAGGAGGAGUAGGUGUAAAUGAGAGAUAUCGGAUUCAAAACUUACCACCUGCAAUUGUACACAUAAACGUUGCAGCCAAUAAGUGUACCAAAUUCUCAACUCGGUAAUUUUUCGUAAGUCUUUAGCCUAUGUUCAUUUUCUUAUCGGGUUUUUCCCCUGCCAAGUGAUUAGAGGUGGCAAAUCAACCCAUUUAACUAAAUUUACCCAUACCCAUCCAUGAAUAUAUGGGUAUGGGUAUCUUAAAUUUUUAUAUAUGGGUAUAAAUGGGUUAUCCAAUAAUACCCAUUUAUUAAAUGGGUAUUAUUGGGUAACCCAUCAAACCCAAUUAACCCAUUUAGAAUUCUCUUCCCCCUAAAUCUCUUCUUUUCCCCGCCUUUUUUUUUUCAAAAUUUUCAUUUUGUCAUGAUGUUAACUACUUUUGUUUCAUUAUUAUUAUUAUUUGUUGGUUUUAUUUUAUUAUUUUAUUUUCUCUUAAUUUGUUAACUUGCUCAUUUUUCGGCAUUACCAAUUUAUGAUAAAUUUAAGCCUCUUUUCUUGUCUUUCUAAAAUGAAAUUUUAAAUUUAUAUAUGAAAAAAAUGUUAGGGGUUCAAAAUUUUUGGAUAAAAUUUUAAUAUUAACUUUUAUAGUACUUAGUUCAAAUUUUUAUAUUCUUAUUAUUCAAUUAUUAAAUAAUAUGUAAUUUUGUGAAAUAGAGUAUAAAUGAAAAAAAAUUGGUAAUUAGGCUUAUUGAAUAUUAUAAGUAAAUAUUUAAAACUAAUGAUGGGUACAAAAAGUGGUAUAAAUUGAUAACUUAGUUUGCAAAAAUGAAUUUAAAUGAAUUUACAAAAAAUUAAAAUAAAUGGGUUAUAAAUGGGUAAUUGGGUUACCCAAUUCAUUUUUUGACUUACCCAUUUAUACCCAUCUAAUUAAAUGGGUAUAAAUGGGUUGACUCACUUAUACCCAUUGCCCAUUUUACCCAACCCAAAUCCGCUCAAGUCACCUAUUUUGACACCUCUACAGGUGAUGAUGGACUUUUUUUUUUUUUUUUGGUGCUAAAGAGAAUUUAUUCCUCAUUCUCGUUGCUCCAUUCCCCUUUCUUGGUGGGUUUCUUUGGAUCGAAGGUUAUUUGAAAAUUUUGUUUAGUAGUAUUUACAAGUGAAUCUGCAUGGCUUGACAUUCUUUUCCCCUUUUUUUCCCCAUUUUUCUGCAGACAAUUGAGUGAAUAAUGUGUAGGAUGUUUUUAAGGGAACCUUUUUGUUUUUAAGAAAAUAUAAACGAUAUAUAGAACAGUGGGUAGUUCGGUCAAACCUAAAACGUUCUAAGAUGCAUGAUGCAAACAAGGCCUUACGGUUUCCGAGAAAUAAAAAGGUGAUGAAAGUACAAAAUCUUGAUGCACAAGAUUGAGAAAAGAAAGCAGUAAAAGCAGAAAGAGACUCGAACUAAAGCAGCAUUACCCAAUAUUGGCAGAAAGUAUUUGACUCCAACGCUGUAAUAUUUUUUUCAACUGUCGAGAUAAGUAGAAACUCCAAUGCUGUAAUAUUCGAUAGUUGCUUUUUCUAUCAUAAUUCAUACAUCAUUGAUCUUAUUAUUUUUAUUUUUUACCAUCAUUAUGUACAACUGAUAUCUGGUUGUCAUAUAUACCACGUGAUUUACAAACAAGUGAGUAUUUACACAAUACACCAAUCUUUAAAAUGAAAAUAAAAAAUACUCUGUAAGCUUUUCCCCUCAUUCAGCGGUCAUUCCACGGAAGGUUCAUCGAGGGAGGCGAACGAAAAACCGUACUGGCUAAUACCUAGUUUCGGAAUUUAGAAUAGAAAAGAAGAGAAAGGAGAUGUUAGAAAAAGAAAAGAAAGGAUGGGAAAUCGAUCCAUUUUUCUAUAUAUGUUGUUUGGAAGUUUUAAAAAAGAAAAAAAAAAAAGGUUAGUGAUUUUUUUUAUUUUAUUAGGGAAUUGAAGAGAAAUGAAAAGCAAAGAUACUCAAACAAGUUGCUUUAUAAAUUUGCCCUUUCUAUAAACAAAUGUGAAUUAAAUAAGUUGAGAGACUCAUCGAAAAAUAAAAUUUUUUUGUAUCACAAUUUUAAGAGUAAUAUUAUUACAUUAAAAAAUUCACUUAAAGCUCCAUGUCUUCUUUUCCUUUCCGCCCAAAGUUUUCCCAAGAUGCGGAGGAAAGUGAAAUCUUUCCAAUUUUUUUCUUUUACUUUUCAUUUUUUGCUCUCAAAUAAUGGAAAAAAUUUAUUAUUCUUUCAAAAUAUUUUUUCUAUUCAUUUCCUUCCUCCCAAGCUGGCUAUAAGAGUAUGGACUAUAGUCUACCAAAAAUAUCUAGAAUGAACCGAAGUACCUAACAAUUUAUGAGUGUGAGAAAAAUUGGCCUUAUUGAUGGAUCAAGAGUAAAAAUUUAGAAGAAAUGGAUGGGAAGCCAAAAUUUGAACAAGUCGAUGUUUAUAAAAGUAGAAGAGUGGAGAAAGUAUUGAUUUAGUAGCCAAAAUCAGGACACCUUUAGAAGUUUGAGUUUUAAUCUACAUCUUUUCUCUUCAUUUCUUAAAAUCUCAUCCCUUAUCACAAAAAAAAAAGCCUUUAAAAAUGGUUAAUUAUAAUUUAUCCCUUAAGAUAUAUCUCGAUUCUCAUUUUUACCUUCUAAUUUAUAGUUCGUGUCACUUAACUCCUAUGAGACAAAAAUACCCCUCUGCUAUAUUGAUUUUAUUUCCUUUUUUGGUCUUCUAUCUAUUUUCUAGUCCAAAUUAGUUUCCUUUUAUCAAAUUUUAAUUUUUAAGCAAAUAAAAAAUUCUGUAACAAAAAAAUUAAGAUGUCCACUAUCCAAUUUACAAAAUUGAAGAAAUUAAAUAUAUUUUCUACAAAUCAAUCUCAUAUAUUCUCCAAUUUAAGAAAUGAAGAAAAAAUUGUAUUAUAUUUCCUUAAAAGUCGACAGUUCAAAGUCAACUACCCGUUUUUUCAAUCACAUAUUCACAUGUCAAUAAUCGGACAUUCUUUGGUUGCUUUUUCUCUAAUGAAUUUUUGCUUAUUGGAUCUUUUAUUUGUUAUAGUUUUUUAAACAAUUCAAUUAUUAGUGUAUUACCUAAUAAUAUAUAUAUAGAAAUACACACACUAAUGUCACGUAAAACUUUAUCGCAAUCAAUUAGAUGGUCAAAAUCAAAUCACAGGUUAAAAUUCAAUGUUCAAAGAAAGGAAGUAGAAAAUUUGAAAAUAAACACUUAUUAGUAUAAUAGAGGAUCUCUUAGAGGUUAAGUGUCUAAAAAAAAAAGUAGGAGUCAAAAUUGAAAUAUGGAAUUAAAGGGUUCGAUGACUCGGAUCGGACCGACUACGUUAGCUCUCCCGUCUAAUAUUUAGGAUUUUUUUUUUUCGAAACGAUUAGUGCGGAUUGAUGAUAUUUACGAGCUGACGCGUCUCCAGAUGCCACCAAUUGCCAUUUGGUAGCAAAUGGCCUUUGGAGUUAUAUAAAUAAUUGAUCCAAUAGUAAAGUUUAAGUAAACAAAAAGUUUCAUACGUCCCACAUGCGCUUCCCUGUCCGAAUUCCGAAGCCCCAGCUCCCUCAGUCAUAGCACUCAAAAGACACGUGGGUGGGAAGUGGGUCAAAGGCCUUUGUCUCUUUGUGGCAAAUCUAUGUAUGCGGAGUGCGGACCCCACUCUCACUCAGGGAUGCGAUGGAUUCGGGACGCUCUGUCUAAAUAAAAAAUCCAGGACCCACCACUAAAUCCACAGGCGCGUUGUUCGAAUUCCUAUAUCCCAGCUCAUUUUGCUGUUGUGGACUCGGGCAUCUUCACACCGACUUCUUCAACCCGGUAUACAACAGGCCAGCCAGAAACACAAGGGCCCUUACAAUUCCCAUCCGAGGCCCAACCGACCUUUAGCUCCACAGAGUUACCCCAAUUCCUAACCCAGUUGAGAACUAAUUAUUAUUCAAUUAAAGGUGCUUUUAAUAAAAUUGAAAUAUAAAAUCUAAAUCUCUUAAGUUACUUAAUUCUUAAGUACUAAAUUUGAUAUUUUAAAUAUAUAUCGGAUUAAAUUACUAUAAAUAAAUAACUUAUUUUUUGAAGUACGUUUUAUUUAAAAAAUUUAAUAUCAUUUAAUUAAUUCAGAUAUUUUAUUUUUGAUUAUCAGAAGCGUCUCUAAAUUCAUUAAGUAUUAAAUUGAUUUAUCAAACAGGUGGCUACUUAGUCAAUUAUUCAUCAAUAAUCUUGAGCAGCUGUGACAUGAGCAUUACAUUACAUGGAACGUAUCAACGUUUUUUGUAAACACACAUGCAUGCCGUGUUUGACAAACCGUGGUCGUCUAGGAGUUACAAAACUGCAGAGGUGCAUAUCGGCCAUAUUACAUCCACGACGGAGGAUUCAAAAUGAGCGAUUGAGGGGCAAAGUACCUAUACAAGGAAAAAGGAGUUCUAGCCCGUAGAUCAAUCAGCUAAACUACCAGAACCACUCAUUUCUGCCUCCACAGCCUUUACAUUUGUUGACACCAAAGGCAUUGUUCCAUACAGCGAGACGAAAUCAUUCAGGCAUUUGUUUCCUGUCACUGUGCCCAUUUAGACUGCUAAUCCCUGAAGAACCUAUCUCGUAUAUUUUCCCUGAAAAGUGGCACAAGUUGUUGAGUGUUGCCCAUGAUCAAUCACCAAUUAGACCUUCAAAAGACUAACAAAGUACUCCAUGCUUUCUAAUUGCAUGACAGAGAAUGACUGCACUUAUUAUUAUUUAUUUAUUCAUCUCACCAAAUUUCACAGCCUAUGGUCUAAUGUUACACUUCCUCUUUCAUUUACUCCAUUUUUUUCCUCUCCUCUUUUCAAAUUUCUAGGCCAAGGUAACUCAAAAGGAUCACAACCUUGACUUUGAAUUUACUAUCCCUUAUGUGUAUUCGUAGCCCACAAGAAACAACAAACAAAAAAUGAAUGAAUACGAUAACUGAGUAACAUAAACUACCAAAUUUAAAGGAGUGUGAACAUGAGGAAUUUCAAGUAUCUGAAUUCUGAUAUACCUCGACAGGGCUGUCCAGUGUAGGUAGACAGGCCAGGAUUAAUGGCAAUAAGAAGAUAUCGCCCACUUACAUGGUUUGCUAGGGAAAAGAGAAAAAGGCAACCAUAGCAGUUCAAUUAAAGACCAAGUACUCUGUGCAUGUCAUGAAUGGUUGCGAGAAAAGUGAGUUGUAGUGGUGGUGCUAAAUACAUUAACAAGACUUCUAUUAAAGACCAAGUAUCUCAAUAUGUUUCAUAAAACCAUAGGACCUACAAAAGAAUACAGUUCUCAGUUGCAAGAAUUAAAACAAGAAAUAAUAAAAACGGAGUAUGAAGAAAUUACCUUUAACCCAUAUUGGUGGGGUGUCUGUAGCAUUUGCUACAAGCAGAGACAUUGCUAUGUCUUCGCAGUUUCUGCCAUGAAAAUCACAGAUGAGGUCAAAACCAGUCACAGAUCAGGUAUAAGCAUCAAACCUCAAAGAAGAAAAAAUUUGCUGGAAAAAAGUCAUUCAAGCAUACCUCUCCCUCAUCACAUAGUCAUGAAUGGAUGAAGGCAUCUUGUUUGUGUACAAAUCUAGGUACUUCUGAUGAAAAAAAGCUGCUUUUGUGAGGACCAUACUGUAAGUGCCCAUCCACCAGACUGACCACCACCCACCAUAUUUAUAAUGUGCCAUGCCGUUUUUCUGUAAUAAUGAAGCAAUAUAUGUGAAACAUACUAGAAGGAAACAUGAAUGACUUGUUUGACAGAAGCAGUAAGGGCUAUGGAUUAGUUAUGUCAGUAAUACCAAAUAUUUUUUGCAAAGAGACGCUCCUUAAGAAUUGGAGAUCUUAGAAAGUUGCAAAUAGGUUGAUUUUAUAGUAAAUCACAUGAUAAGACAAAUUUUUAACUUUCUGGUCCAUUUAUGUGCAUGUGCUUUUUAGCAGCAGAAAUUUGGAAAAGUAAUGAAGAAUUAAGUCACUUGUAGAACAAAUUAUUGCCUCAAUUCGAAGACGGGAUUGUGUUAGAUGUGUCCAUAAAUUAGAGUAUAUGAUUUUAAAAGACAAUACCAAAAAGUAGUUAAAAAGCAACAAAGCAUACAACAUUAGAAGAAGUGAACUAAGACUUCAUUAUUCCCAUGAAAGGAAAACAAAGGAGGAGAGAAUAAGAUGAAGAGGCAUAUUUGGAAUGCCAAAUUGUUUUCUGGUCAAAAAGAGCAAAAGAACACCUGACCUCCUCAUCCAGCCAGUGCAUGCGCGGAACGAAGCCUACCAUGGUAUGUGGAGCACUUUGCCACACAGUAAAUGAAAAAUCCAGAGUACGACAUGGAACAAUUACAUCAUCAUCAACUGAGAAAAUUGCAUCAGUUCUGAGACCAGAAAUUGGUUUGAAUCGAUUGUUCAGAUUAUCUUCCUCAUUCAGGUCAAACCUGAAAUUGGGCUUGUGAACUGUCUGUGACUUUUUCAACACUAUGUUCUUAAGAUGAGCUCUCAGUUGGUCUGAUGGUGGGUCACUUUCACUCCAUAUGACAUGUAUAGCAUCGGUACCACUGCACGAUGCGUAGUGAGCAACAGACUGCUUAAGUAAGGAAUUUCGCUUCCAUGUAUUUAUGAGCACCGUGUAGCUGCCCCUGUAAAGAUACAGAUUAAAGCUGACAUUAGAAUGUGCAAGUUUUAGAAUUAUCACAUGCACCUUAAAAUUCACAAACAGUGAACUGCAAAACCGAUGAUUAAUAAAUUAAGACAUUAAUCUGUCUAUGAGUCAGGUAGCAUGAUGUAAUGUUGGCAAAGGAAAGGAAAUCAGGGAUCCUUGAGGCCACUUGAUGUGUUGAGGGCGAAAUAUGUGGUGAAUAAGUUACAUAUCCUAACUCCAUUAAUGACAUUAACAAAGUUUAAGUCCUAUCAUGCAAAAUCCAACUGAUCCGGAUGCAACCUGACAAAAGAUGGCAACUUUGCUCUCAACUCGAGUAGAAACUUCCAAAGAAUCAAAGGCCGAGUUUCGACACUCAAAUAGACUUGAGAAAUUUAACCAGGAAGAAAUAGCUUGCUAGCAAAGUCUUGACUCUAAAGACACCAUAUAACAUCAUUUCAACAUGAAGUCUAGCAUUUAAAGCAAAUACAUGGUGCAAAGAGUGAUGACUUUGUAGAAGAAGAAGCAACUCUAUUUCAAAUUUAGAUAUGCUUAUUCCACAAUUAAGCCAAUCGUGUAAUUCAAACAGUUAAGUUAGAUUCACCUUAAGAGAAACAGUAAAAUCCCGAACAGGCUAUCGCAAUUGAUGAACUUAAUAUAAACCUUCCCCAAAAAGUGAAGCAUAAAAAGAAAGAGAGAAAUUAGGUCCAAACCAGUACGCCCAGAAAAUUAGAGCUAUAUCCUAUUUCCCAUAAUCUGCCUCGUCAAUUUCUAGACAUGUAUAACUCAAGUAAAUUAUGACACAAGAAAGGUAACAAAAAUCUCAUCCAAACUUUAUCGUGUCCCGACCCGAAGUAAAAGAAAUCAGAAAGCUCAAACUUCAGCUCUAAGACCUUCCCAGAAUCUUACAUUGACAAGGUUAUAACUUAAAACUUUCUCCCCCCAAAAAAAAAAAAAAGUUAAAAAUUGAUUGCACUUAAGGCUCAGUGUACUACUAGUAUCAUAUAUCAAGUCAUCCUCAUCAACAAUCCUUACUGGUCGUUUACGGAGUUAACCGUUAUACCAGCUGAAACAGCUGGGACUAUACUCAAUUCACAAUUUAGUUUUUACCCAAAAAUAAUAAUAACAAUAAUAAGAAGAAGAAAGGGGAAAAAAAAACAUUACAAGACAAAGAACUGAGACUGGAAAUCUUCAAGCGAAAGUAGAUACACGUAUACCUGUUAGGAACGGAUAUAGAAGAAGAUAAAUCAGGAUCCCAUCCCAUGAAAGGACCGAUUUUGGAGCUGAACCAGACGACAAGGCAUAGCAAAGACAGGCAAAAUAGAAGCUUGAACUUUAAGCCACCUAGCAACUGCUUUACGCGGCGAUGGAGAAGAGGAGAGCGGCCGUUGUAGAUGCCUCUGUUAGCUGCUUUUUCCUUCGCCGGAGAAUACUCCCGCCGGCAGUCAGGGCAGCGUCUCGGAUCGCGAUGAGCGUGGACAUUUUUUUCAAAGUCUAAAUCAUGGACCGUCCUAGUACGAUCUGCGGAAAUUAACUUUUGAAUUUCAGUAUUGAUAUUGAUUCAGUUAAUAGUGAGUAGUGAAUGCUUGAACAAAUUACUAUUAGAUUACCCUACAAUUUGAAGUUUUUCCCAACUGAUGGGGUGCCACCGCUACAAAGUACAAUGGCCCUAAAUUCUCUCCUGCUGCAAUGGCAAGUCGAUCGCACUCAGGUUUUUUUUUUUUUUCUUUUCUUUAAUGAAGUACUUUUUUUAAAAAAUUUAUUUUUCCUUUUUUCCCCCAUAAUCCAUUAUACACCUAUCUUAUUAUUAUUAAUGAACUGAUACUCAUAUUUAUUAUUUGUUAGACCACUAUUGCAAACAUUUAAUAAGAAUCAAAGUGCUAGAUAUUACCCUAUAUCAUUCUACUUUAAACCAAACAUGUUUGGAGGAAUAAUCAAAAUUCCUUAUUCCGAUUUCGACAUGCAAGCCAAACACUUCAUUAAGAGUAAAAGUUUACUUCCACAGAAUUUACUUUCCCAAGUAAUGGGGCAGCUUUUCUGUUUCUGUUUCUUUAAGAAUAGAGAAAAAACAUUUGGAAAAAGAUAACUAAUUAUUUAGAAUUUUUUUUGUAUUACAACCUAAACACAUUUUUUACCCACUUUUUUAGUUAUUUCUUUAUUUCGCAUAUCUUUCUUUCAAGCCCAAAGAGUUUGAAUCAAUUUUUACAAACCUAAAUCCGAGAGAAUCCCAAAAGCGUACAAUUUAUUUCACAUAUCUCUGUAUUACAAUCCAUUUAUCCAAGCUCUUUCUCCACAGAUAAACACCGUACGAUCCGGUGGUUUCAAAUUCCCUUUGACCUUUUCAAUCGAGCAAAGUAAGAAGUCUUCAAAACAUGCAUCAACUUCAGAGUUAAUUGCUAGAUUUUUUAAAUUUAGAAUUUCACUCUACAUAACAAUUAUUAAAGGAAUUAUAUUUAAUAAUUUUAAUGGAUUUAGAUCUUAACAUAUUUUAGAUAUGUUUGAUAACAAAAAAUAUAAUAUCUGAAUUAAUUAAGUGACACUGAAUUUUUUGGACAAAAUUUAUUUCAAAAAAUUAGUGAUAAACUAUUCAUUUAUAAGAUAUACAUUCAAAUAGAUGAAAUAUAAUAUUUAAUAAUUUAAUGAAUUCAAAUUUUAAUAAAUUUUAAUUUUAUGAAGUGCACCCCUAAACAAAUUUGGUAGGAGUGCGCCAACUAAACACCCGCCCCUUGUAGGAAAAUUUUUUAAAAAAAAACGCCAUUCAUUUAAUCAAAAAAGAAAAUAAAAAAGCUUGCCAAAAAAAAUUUUUUUUUUUGGACCAGUCGAUUGGAUUAUAAAUGGAAAAGAAACUUGCCAAAUACAGAAUCUGAUUAAACCGGGCGGAAGAGUAUUGGAUUAGGAGUUUGGACUUGGAGUUGGUCCCUUCAAAAGCCUAAAAACUUUGGGUAACCAUUUGAAUUCAGCCAUAUAUGAGCUCCAAAUGAGAUGACGUUAUGCAUAUGGUACCAUAUUUGGCCCAAGAUGGAUUUCAUGGCGUGGACGCAAUUGUUUCCGCCCGAUUCUCAUCCAUCGUUGCAGCAGAGCUUGGCCCUGUCAUUGUUCCUCAGCCCAGCACACGAUCCAAAUUCCCGCCCAUCGCACUCAAAACAGAAGACAAGGAAGCGACCCAAAUUGGGAUUCCCUUUCUCCCUAAGUUUUCACACUCAUAAUCUAAGUUAUUCUUGUUAGGAGCGGACAAUAAUCUGAAAUUUUUGGCAAUUUUCCUACUUAGUUGCUGUUGAAAGAAAGAAAAUAUCAUAGAAUAUGUCCCACUGUCUAGCUGUUUGAAAAGUUAUUUAGUGACUCCAUUUCCUCCUGGCUAGCUAUGUGUCCCACUGUCCUUGGUCUAGCUUUUUAAAGAAGAAAUGUGUAUUUAUGCGCUUUUUAGUUUUUACAUUUGCAUGUACUGUCUACUCUUUUGUAAAUGGAUCCAUGGAGGCCAAGCUGUCCCCUUCUGUGAUUGCAGCUUGUACCCAAGGUCUUCAAACUGACUGAGUUCGUGUGAUUGGAGUACCAUCACACUGCUACACCUCUUACACAUUAAUUAGUGGAUCUUUUGUAAAUUGUUGUUGGACGAAGAGUUUAUAAUUAUUAAUGCUUAAAAUUUGGGAUAAUUAUACACAUGCACAGAAUGUGGUGUUUGUUGCGAUUCUAAAUGCGAAUGCGAAUUGUUGGUCUUGCUCUUUUUUAGAAUGUGUUCAAGUAUUAUCAUGCUUUGCCUCUAUCGUCAUCAUCAGGCACAGUUAGCAAGACUUGAGAAGAACCUGAGAUCACAAAAUAUCUGGUGAAUUUCACUUUUUACUGAGCAAUUUCAGAUGCCCGUAUAUGAGAUUGUAAAUGUCUGAUAUUUGUAGCCAAUUUAGAUUCAGCGAAGAAUUUGUUAUCCUCCUAAGAAUGAAUGCAACUUUAUCACUGGAAAAAAAUUUUUUUUUUUAAUUUAUAACAUAUGCUUAUUGUGCAACAUCCUUCAUGUUGACUAUUAGGCAACAUGAUUUAUAGUGGAGGCAGCCAUGUGAUUACAAUCGGGCUUCUUACCUUAUGCUCCGUAUUUUUCCAUGUCAAGUGUCCAAAUUCUGGUGCUGUUUGCCGAGAUUUUGUUUUUAAACGUAACCUUGUAAGAUAAUUUCUGGUGUAGUCGGGUAAAAUUUAGCGUUCUUGGAUCGACCUCUACAAGAGCACCCCUGAAUGGUGAAACUGCAAACAUGGUAAUUUGAGUUGGGAGGACCAACAUUGGUGACUGUUCUACGGAGAGUUAGAACUGAAACCUUCGUGUUUUCUGGGAAAACAGGCGAAAUAGCUGGGUAGUUUAGGUCACCAGGAUUGGCAAAAUGUUGAAGGCACUUUCUGUUGGAGAACUUAGCGAAAGCUGUCAGCUGGGAAGGAGUCAAACCCUGUGCACACAAAAACUCGAAGUAAUCCUGUGCCCCUAUGUCGUAGAUCAAGCCUGGAUCAAGGCUUUCGAAUGGGUUUAUAUGACCUGCACCGUGGUCAUAAGGGGUGGAGGGCACACCUGUGGAGGCAUCUUUCAGGGGAUGAAAGGUAUUGUCGUGGACAUAAGCCGUUGUCAUGAGUGCUGAUUUGAUUGCAGCUGGACUCCAGUCAGGGUGCCUGGCCUUCAGCAGUGCGGCAAUCCCACUCACAUGUGGACAUGACAUGGAAGUUCCAGACAAUAUAUUGAACCAUGUUCUUCGAGGAUCAGUUGGCAAACUUGAUGGACCUGUAACACCUGUCCAUGCUGCAAGGAUAUUUACUCCUGGUGCCACCACAUCUGGCUUCAGGAUCUCCAGUGAGAGGAAAUUUGGUCCUCUGGAUGAAAAUGCAGCCACCACUGGCGAGGGUUUGAUCCCUACCUUGGUCCCAAGAAAUAGUAAAGUUGCACUAGCCUUUCGAUCCCUUGAAACAUAAUGUUUAAUCAGUUUACCUGUCGUCUCACCAACUGCGACUGCAGGGAGAAGGUGACUAUCCGCAACCAGCUCCUCUCCGUUAACGGCAGUAUUAGACAGAAUCAUGCCAACUCCUCCGGCAUCUUUCACCACUUGACCCUUCUGAACUCGAGGACUUAUGCCCCGGUCGCAUAUUACAAUUUUUCCAGCAACAGCAUGGCUGUCCAAAGUUCCUUCUAGGCACAGUGAGCUAGGUGUGGGGCUGCUCGAAUUGCUUCCUGGGUAAAUUAUAGGGUAUUGCUUUUGUGUAGACAGAGUUCUUCUGCCUCUAUAAAGUGAAGUUCCAGUUAAGAUUUCACCUGUCCCGAGCUUGACAAUGGCUGGAAAGUCUCUGUCCAUUGUGCUAGCUCCAACUGUGGUGAUCCAUGGUGAUACAUUGGUAAGGCUAACCGGAUCAGGCCCUCCAUUUCCAGCUGAGCACGAAAUAAAAACUCCCUUCUCCAUAGCACCGAAUGCUGCUACUGCCAAACUGUCACGGUAAUAAGAUGCAACUCCUCCUCCCAAAGAGAUGGAUAGAACAUUUACUCCAUCAGCCACGGCUUGAUCAACUGCAGAAAGAAUGUCUGAGCUAAAGCACCCUCCAGUCCAGCAAACUUUAUAAGGAACAAUCCUCGCACCAGGGGCCAUCCCUUGUGCAGUGCCAUAAGCAUAGCCGAAAAGAUUUGCACCGUGAACAGCUGAGCCUGCAACUGUUGCAGCAGUAUGAGUGCCGUGGCCAUCUUGAUCCCUUGGGGACUUGUACUCAUCUCGUUCAUUGAUCUUGCCUGAGGCUGCCUCAUAGCCGCGGUAGAACACUCUAGCGCCGAUUAUCUUUCUGUUGCAAUGAUGCCUGCCAAAAGCACGGCCUAUCUCACAAUUUCCUUUCCAGUGACCUGGUACUGGUCCCAUUUCUGUGUCAUUGAAGCUUGGGCUCUCUGGCCAUAUCCCGGUGUCUAGCACUCCCACAAUGACAUCACUUUGUGACAGUCUAUCAGACCAGACACUUGUACCAUAUCUGUUUUCGAGCCCAAGGAACAGGGGACUUCUGGUUGUGUGGAGCUGGUAUACAGUCUCAGGAAAAACAGCCAUCACACCAUGUUUUUCCUGCAGUCUCUCCACUUCCUCCUGGUUGAGCCGAGCAGCAAUGCCAUGGAAAGCAGUAUGGUAAGUGUAAAUUAUCCUAUCUUCAUCUCCUGAAUCAUCUACUUUGCUUGGUUUGGAAGUUACAGAUUUUACUAUGGAUGAGUACCACUGCACAUGGUCGACAAAUAGUGCUGGUUUUGCCCAUUUAUCGAUUUGCACUAUGUAUGUUGCUGUGGUGGAAGUUUUGUUGCAAGUGCAUGUUAAAAAGCCGAAAGCAAGAUAGCUUGAUACAAAGAGGAGCAACCGUUUGCCUAAAAAUGCAACCAUUUUCUCUGGUAUUUUUGUUGAAAAGGAAGAAAUGGGGUUGAAAGAAUGAAGAAGAAUGGUGGGGGAAGAAGAGGGAACGGAGAAGUGAUCUUGGAAAUAAAAUAUCGAGGGUGAGGGACCUUUGGUUCCGUCUCAGUGUGCAGGUAAUUAAGAUGGUAGUUGUCUCAUGAAUGUCGGUAUUCUGUAGUAGGAAGUAGGGGGCUUUACUUCUGGCUGGUGAUGUGUAGUUAUUGGUUAUGGUCCUCCCUCUGAAGUCUGAACCAGCCAUUUGAGUUGUUCUGCAUAUGAUGGUAGUCUUGCCUUGCGCGAUUAUACGUAUGAUGGUAGCAGCGGGAGUUCUCCUCAGAAAUUAUUUAUUUGGUGGAAAAUGCACUUUUCAUCCACCUCAAUAAUGUUUGGUAGUGGGCCGAUUUUUAUCCCCAUUGUUUCGGUAAAAGCACAUUUAGUCCCUCAUCGUUUCCAGAUUACUACAUCCAAUUAAGCGACAAAAUCUAGACUAAACCCCAGGCACAUUGGUGGAAUGGUAUCCAUGGUUCGAAGUCUUGGCCGAAACCGAGAGGACUCGGCCGAGUCAUCACCGUCUCGACCCCUAUCGAUACGAUACCGUGACGAAAUGAUACCGAAAUACUUGGCUCGUCGAGAAAUCGGCUGAGUCAUCACCGCGACGGGUUGACUCGGCCGAGUCACACCGAAUCACUCCGAGUUAUCCCGAGUCAAGACGAGAAAUCAGCCGAGUCACACCGCGACGGAUUGACUUGGCAAUUCUUUUGCCAUUUUUUAAUUAUUUUUAUUUAGCAUACUUUUUUAUAUUAUUAACAAUUUUUAAAAUAUUAAAUACUUUAAAAUUAGCAUCUCACCGAGACCGCGACCGAUAUGCCGAAACCGAUGUGGAACGUUCUAGGCCGCGACCGCGACCGUGACUUUGAACCAUGAUGGUAUCAGAACCGAUCAAGCUCUCGCUAGCUCUAACUUUCCCCUGUCCCCUUUUUCCUCAAUACGAGCAGAAAUUAUGACUACAUUAGGGGGAUUGACAUGAUGAUGAUGAUGAUGUACAGCCUUCAAGGAGUCUGCUAAUGCAACCGGGUUUGCUUAAUCUCAAGUCUUAGAACAGGGAUUUCAGGUUCCAUCUUUUCACCAAAAAAAAAAAAAAGAAGAAAGAUUUUUAUCAUUAUUAUUUUGGUUCCUCUUUACAGCUUUCAACGUAGUACGGAAAUACAAAUUUUAACGAAUCGUGGGUCCAAGUCCAACAAUCAACAUUAUGAAAUAUCUACCCCCAUGAGAUGAGAUCAUAGCAUGUGGAUAGGGUCCCCCAUCGUUGUAGAGGCAUCAUCAUUUCAGAAAUUUGAGCACUCCUCGUGUUGUUCAUGCAAAUUCUGCAUAUUGCCUUUGCGAGAGAGUGAAUUGGACCGUCCUGGAACAUAAUAAUGCAUCUCAAAGCCUCCUAGACUGGAUCUGGAUGGCUAAUUGACAACUGGUACAAGAUUAUAGCAGAGGAGUACCGGGCAGCAAUUCCACCAAGGAUUGGAUCUUCUUCUUCAUAAUUCGUCUCCAUCCGCAUAUCUAAUGAAGCAGCUGGGGCAAUCAAUUUUCUCCAACAGAAAAGAACUUCCCCCCAGUUAGAGAGCAAAUAAAACAAGAUUUUUUUAAAAUCAAUUGCUGUAAAUAAUUUUGCAAUAAACAUACAGGAGCCCUUACGUUAGAGUGAAUUAGUAGUCGUACAAGGAAAUUACAAAACCACCGCUAUGCAACAAAUUCGACAUUAAAUGAAGGGGCAGAGUCUCCAAAUUCCAAAUGAUGCAGUAGUGGCCGCAGCAAUUAUUAACUCAACCGCAGACAAUCUGCUUCUUCUUCCCUCUUCAUUCAUUCCAUCUGACGUCGUCCACUUCUUCCCCUGCCUAUAUCUGAGAAGGCCAUUAAUGCGUAGCCAGAGUAUUCAUGAUCAUGGCUGCAGCAUGGACUAUCCCCAUCGCCCCCUCAUAAUGCCAUCCAACUCUGUUCUCGUUGGGGCUCGUCUUUUAUUAGUAAUUUAGAGCAUAGUUAUUAAACCCGGCCCGGGGAGAAACCCGGUGAAGGAGGUGGAUCAACGGAUUACUGGUUCAACCGGUGAGUAAGUGGUCCAACCGAUGGGUCACUACAUAUAUUUAAAUAUUAUGUUUUAUAAUUUUUAUGCCAUAAUAAAUAUUCAGUUAGUUUAAUUUAUUAUAGAUUCAUUAAUUUUUAUAAGAAUUAACAACCUAAAUUUAAUUAGUAAUCCACCAAAUUUCAAGUAUAAAUUUUAUCUAAGUAUAAUUAUCUAGUUUAUUUAUGAAUUUUAAGUGCAAAAGUUUAUUAAGAAUAAUAUUUACCAUUAAAAUGAUUUGUGUAAUAUGUUAUUUUUAAGUCAAUUUCAUAAUUUAUAGAGUUCAGGGAAUAAUAAAAAUGUUAUUAAAAGAUUUCAAAUAAAUUUUGUUUUGGAGAAAUAAAAUAAGAAUAAGAUUGUAAUAUAUAAUAUAAGAACAAAGUAACUAAUAAAUUAUUGGUUGGUCCAACGGUAAUGGUUGUCUUCUUCUUUGCAUGAGGUCGCGCGUUCAAUUCUCAAUUCCAGCAAUGUUUACAAAUUUUUUUCGAAGACCGGGUUUUUCAUAAAAUCGGCCGGUUCAACCGAGUUAAUCGGUUCAACCGCCGGUCCGUUGAAAAGUCAACGGAUUCAAUGCAGAAACGAUCUUGUUAAGAACCCGGCUCGGUUUCAUGAUCGGUUCAACGGGUUGACCGGUUGAACCGCCGGACCGGGCCGAGUUUAAUAACUAUGAUUUAGAGUCUUCGACCCUUUAUUCAGUUUUUUUCGCCACUAAAAUUGUUCUAUGGCAAUCACUUGUAAAUGCUAACAGCUAAAGCAUGCAGGUAAUCUGUCGACAACUGUACCUUCUUUUUUCCUUUUUUUUUUUUGUUUAAAUCUGCAACAAAAUUUUUUUUUUCCUGCAUCGAUAACAUUCUUAUAACACAAUUUAUUUUAUUCUACUGAGAGGGGGACGUCUAAGAAGAAGGGCUAGCACCCUAAUCUAUCAUAUUCUAUUGGAAGGGGAGUAUAAGAAAAAAUGUAUAAGAGACUAACAAGUAUACAAAUCUGACUAGAUCAAAGCGAUGUUUUCACACUUCUUUUGAAUUUUUUUUUUCAUUGCAGGUAGAGUUCGAACCUCCGACUUAUAGCUCAAAGAAGGACUUAGACCCUGUUUGAUAACUUCAUUUAAUACUUAAAUUUAAUGUAUUCAGAUUUUAAUAUGUUCAGACAUGUUUGAUACCAAAAAUUAAAUAUUUGAAUUAAUGAAGUGGUAGUACUAAAUUUUCUAGGCAAAACUUGCUCCAAAAAAUAAGUGAUAAAUCAUUCACUUAACACUAAAUGUGACAUACACUUAAAUAUAUUAUAUUUAAUAUUUAGCUAUUCAAUGACUUAAUGAAUUUGAAUUUCAUAUUUUAAAUUUUAAAUUUUAAUUUUAUCAUAUGCACCCUCAAUCCCCUUACGUCGUCGAUGGCCACCGAGCCAAAGCUCGAUAAUUUUGUCGACAACUGUGCCUGAUUCAACCACUUUCGCCUUUAGGACUCCGAAGGAAAUGAAGAACGAAGGACGAAGGCAAUCAGAAGCCAGGCCCCAUUUUAGACGACUAGCAGAUGAUCACCAUGCUAGCGCAGGGUGCUAAAUUAUAAAUAUGCCCAAGAUGACAUAAUAAUUAUCUAUAUUUUUUAAUUUACUUAGCAUUUCACUGAGCAUUUGAUAACACUAUGAUAAAACAAAUCAAAAUUUCUCACAAGAUGCCAUGAGACUGGCUUUGGCAUGUUCUAUGCUACACUAUCAUUUGAAGGUCCGUGGUGUAAUUUGAAAACAAAAAAUCUCCAGCAAGAAGUAGAAGAGAGCUCCAAGAAAUGCGUGUCAAUACGCCUACCAGACGGAUAGGAUUUUCGCGACUUUAAUGAGGGGACACUUGAAAGCAUGGAUCACGCCUCAAGCACGUGCAGAUUUGGAAAGAGACUAUCACGCCUUCUAGGAGGCGCCACCGAUAGCGUGGUCUUGGUCUUUCUUUUCCCUUGUACUUGCAAACAUUCUUUAGGCAAAGCAAUUUCCUUGCGUGCGUAUACCGUACGUACAUACGAAUUCACCCCAGAUCUUUCCCUCUCCCUAGAUCCAUCCCAUCCUUUUCUUUUCCUCAAGAAUUAAUCCAAAGAAGAAAAACCAAACUCCUCCAAUUCCUUUCGCUUCAUUUCCCUCCCAGUUCUUGAAUUCCCAAACGGAUAAAAUCGUUCUUUUUCCAUACCGAAGGACCAAAUACCUACUGACUUUUAUUUUGUUGAAUUCUGACCACCAGUAUGACGUUCGUUGGCCGCCGAGAUAGGAUGGCCUUCAAGGCUGUCAGCCCAUGGGCCUAUUUCGGCAUCGGAUGACAUGGGCCUGAUGCACUCCCAGACCAGACUGCUGCAUUUAGGCCCACUUCCCAUUCCAAGCUGCCACACCCUGUCACCUUUCUUCACUCUUCCCUUGGCUUCCAUAUAGGCCAACUCAUACCACAAUGAAGAAGAAGAUUGAUUCCCAAACCUGUGCAUUGUCAUCAAAGCAGGCUCCAUAUCCCUUUCUCCAAGUUUCAGACCUUUUCCGAUCUCUCCGAUAACCGGCUUCCCAGAAGUUGGCAAGCAGAAAUGUUGUAUCACUGUUUUGAAAUUAGGCACGUAAAUCUCUGUGGCCUUGUCCAUAAACUUCUUCCGAAAGACUGAGACUGCAUACCAAAUUUGUUCCGUAUAGGGCAAUAUUCUUGCACCAAGAAUCGAAAUGUUCGACCGUAAAGUUUCUCCGGCCACAUGCAGUAAAUCCCUCCUCAGCGUAACCCCAGUAUGUCCUCUGGAGUCCUCUUCGCGGAUGGCGGAAUAAUAACCCUUGUCAUCAAAGGCUCUUUGAGUUCUUUGGCUCAAGAGUAGCUUAUAUUUGGAUGCCCUUUUGGCUUCUCUUCUGUUGGUCAACAAGAUUGCAGCACCUCCCAUGCGGAAGAGGCAAUUUAGGACUAUCAUGGGUCUUUCUUUUCCGGGGUACCACCCGGUUGACAGAAUCUCGGUGCUGAGAAUAACAGCAUUCCAAUUCUUGUGAGUUUUGAGAACGCUUUGAGCCAUGUCAAUAGCUAAUGCACUUGCACUGCAGCCCAUGCCAGAAACAUUGAAGCUCUUAAUAUCUUCUCUCAUGCGAUACUUGUUGAUAAUGAUGGAUGAGAGAGAUGGAGCAGGGCAAAAGCCGCUGCAGUUGACGAUUAAUACGUCUAUAUCUCGUGGUGAGAGUCUGGUUUUGGACAAGAGGUCAUCGAAGAUUGGGAAGAGUGCCAUGUGUACUUCUCCAGUGGCAUCUUGAUGGCUUGAUCUGGGUGGGAUGUAGUGUAAAGCUGGGGGAAGAUAGGUUCGUUCACCCUGUCCUGAUUGAAUCAAGAUUUUAGCCAUGAAAGCUCUGCUUUGAUGGUCCAAAAAGUCAAACAUUUGAGCAUGCUCGAGGUAGGUGGAGAAAGGUACCCUGCAGAAACUUGGUGGCUUCAAACAUGAGAAAUCCACUAGGUAUACUGGUGAAUGGCUUGAAGGAUAAACUUGGGAACUGCAGAACAGAAGGAGACAACAAAGAGCAAUGAAGUGGAAUAGUGUUCCCCACUCUUGAAAGAGAAACAGCAUUUCCGUGCAGGACAAGACGAGAAGAACAACAAAUUUCAUCAACUCCAUUAGUAAUUUCAAUCCUGAUAAGGGAGAGGUGAUUAAUUAAGCUGCAGGGAGAGAGAAAGAGGUAACGCAGGAAUUUUGUGGUUUCAGACUGUAGAUAUCUAUGGAGAUGCGAUCAUAUUAGCAUAGGAGGGUGCUGCUAUAUAUAUACAUUUCCAUGACUUCACAACGAACGGGUUCCUUCUCUGUGUAAAAGGCGGAGUAAAGCGGAUUAAGUGCGUCAGUUAGGACAAUGAGAGUUGCGCAGUUGGGAAGCGAAAUUCAUUGCGAGAACAAGCCGUGAAGAUUUUGAAGCCUAUGCCGAACUCUGAAUUCUGAAGGCACUCAGGAAUAUUCAAGGAAGAUUUGAUAAUAUCAGCCUAGUAGUAGCUAUUCUUGAGUUAUCAAUAAUUGCACAUUGGAAAAAAUUUAUAUAUUUAAAAACGAUCUGAUCACAAAGGUUUAAGUGGAUACCGUCGCAUGCAUACUUCGGGCUAUGGCUAGCGGUGCCGGUGAAGGAAGGUUCUGCAGUGCAUGCACCAUAUUAGUUAAGUAUUUCUUGACGGACAGGAGGGCAUGGCAUGCGCUAUCCAGUCAACCAGCAACUGUUGACCAUGAAUAUAGGCAAACAACAACAACAAGUGCUCGGCUGAUGUGUGAAUCAUUCAGCCCUCUUUGGCUACUGAUGUCGUAUGAAUGUUGCGAGGGAGAGACAGAGAGCAUUCCCCUAUGGAUUAUUGAAUGAAUGAAGUCUCGUCCGGUUGCUCCAGCAGCUCCACACACGCUUAUCAAAACACGUGCAUUAAUUUUCCAAAAGUCAAACCGUGGAGAGCGCUGGCACUGUCUUGAUUUUUGAAGUACGACCAGCGAAAAAAAAUUAAAGUACACAAGCAUUAAGUGUUGCAGACUUGCAGUUGGUCAAACGGAUUAAUUAGGGAGGAAUGAUGAGUUGGGUAGCAGCGGGGAGGGAAUCAAAGAUCUAGAACACCUACUUCAAGGAAAAAAAGGAGGGGAAUAAUUAGUUCUAUAUGGAAACAUUUUAUUGUCACACUCACACAGGGUAAUAUAAUACUAGUUGGUUUUGUGACCCUCAAUUAUGGAAUUUGGUUUGUGUCUUGGUAAUCCUUGAAUCUGAAUAGACUCAAAAAGGGUUUCGCGUAUCAUGUAAUAAUACCAUUGAGGCAUUGACAGUCUCCCUACUUAGGUUGUGUUUGUACUCAUAUCUUUCUAAUAAGGAUUAAGCGUGAGGGAACUAGCCAGAGUUAACCAACCAUAUCAAUAAGAGUUUGGUUAUAAUAUUUCUAUUGUUUUGAAAGAAAAUAUAAGAUAGAAAACUUGAAUUAAACAUGUGAUGUUUGUCCCAAAAAAAAAAAAAAAUAUAUAUAUAUAUAUAUAUAUAUAUGUCUUUGGAAGUGGUUAACUCUACCUUUCUAACCCUGUCAAAAAAAUGAUUAGCCACCAUAAUUUUUUUGGCCACCCUCCUCUCUAACAGGCAUCAAACCCGGCUGUGUUUGGAACCUGAAUUAGAGCAUCAACAGGUUCCUUGUGGACAAAAGAGUUCAUAAUUCUCAGAUUGCUAGUGGAUGGAGAGAAAAGCCGAUUAAGGGUUUUUCAGCGGAUGAUGGGUCUGCCACUUGCUCGGUUUUAUGUUACAGGAGAGGCUGUCGGCCAAACCAAUCGAAGGGCGCAUUAGUAUCACUAUUUCAACCACUAAACUUCGGCCCAGUGACUAUAAAAAAGGGAUUAAAUCAUUAUUUGGACGGUAGAUCAUCGAGAGUUCGAGCUCCCGUUGCAAUGAAAAAUUUUGAAAUGAGACGUCAGAACACCCCUUUAGUUUAGUUUUAGUCCCUUACGCAACCUUAUCAAUGCUAGAAUAGGAUAGAUUAAAUUUACCUGCAAAUAUUCUUACAAACGUUAGAAUAGAAUAGAUUAAGCUUACCUACAAAUAUUAUUCUGGUUUGUUUUGGUUCCGGGCCUCCUGGCUGCUCAAAACAUAACGGGUUUCCAAACGGCCGAGAAUCUAUUUAUGUUUGCCUUUGGGGCAUUUUUUUGGACGCCGAGCCCGUUAGACUGGGAGUGGUGAGCAUCUGCAAGGCUGGGCCACUUGCUAUGCCCUUAAAGAUAAAGAUGUGUCCUUAUUCUGCUGUCCUCGUACGUACGCCCUUUUUUCUUUGGUCAAGAUACUUUGCCCUUACUUGCUGUAUGUUGUUGUAUCAGCUUCAUCCUUAAAAGAGUUUUGCAAGUAGCGUUCCCAUUAACCUCUUUCAAGUGAAGCUCAAAUUAUUUAAUGUCCAAUUAAUUAAUGAAUGGUGCCCAAAUUUCUAAAAUUACUUGCAGGGUAUCUUUCCAGAUCACGAUUAUUAAUCUCUUUUUUUUAUAAUUGCACGUGUUCUCAAUCUACUGGCAAACGGCUUUGUUAUAUCUUGAAAUCGUGUUAACAGCUUUUCUCUAUUUGGCAUUAAUUAUUAUAUUUAAUGCCAAAUAUAGGCAGAUAAUAAUUAUUUGGUGCUUGCUCUAAUUUCAUCAUGCCAAAUAUCUUUCUUUCUUUUGGCUGGUCGUGCCAAGUCGUUGUCUCCUUUGUGAAUAUAAAUGAAAAACAAUUAUUAAGAUUCAUCGAGUCUAUAAGGAUGCAUGUUAAUUUUAUCAUUUUCUUGGUUCCAACUUAAUUACGUAGCCAUAUUUUCCUCCUGGUCUCUAUUUGUGUAAAAAUUCUACUACUAUUUCUUGUGCCCAACUAUACACAUAUACAUAUUAUAUAUAUAUAUAUAUAUAUAUAUAUAUAUAUAAUAUAUAUAUUUUUUUUUUUAUGUAACAAUUUUCAUUCCAUAGACUUCGAUAUAUAGCUAAUCUGUUUCUUGCCAAUAUACAUACAUAUAUAUAUAUAUAUAUAGUGUGUGUGUGUGUGUGUGUGUCGCAUAAUCUGGAAAAGUGAUUCGUUCUCACGUCUCGCACCCUAAUUACUACUAAUUAAUUACGCGCUGUAUGUAUAUUUUGAUGAUCAAGUUCAUCACGUAACUUUCACUUGACACUGUGAUUUUAUGUUGCUUAAGCUACCAACAGCCGACGCAAUGUAGCAGAUGAUACACUACUGACAUUUGAUUUACCCCAUUAUGAAUAGCAUGAUGACUACUACUCAAAUGGGCAGCAAACCCCAGAAGAAGAAGAAGAAGAAGAUAUCCCGAUGACAAGCUUCAAGACAAAUCUCCCUGUUCCUUAGUUCCCCAAAAGAAAAAAAACAAACAAACAAACAAACAAAAAAAAAAAGAAAAAGAGAGAGGCAAAUUAAAUCUCCUCUGUGUCAAACGAAGAAAUUGGCCAGACAAGUACGACACGACCGGCCAUAACCUAGUCGAGCGAGUACGUACAUACUCAGAUCAGGGACAAACCGUCUAUGAUUGAGAUAAGGUAAACCCCGUGAAAACAAUCAUUGCAAUUUGUACCUCCAAAAUUAAACAGGCAGAAGCACACAAACAAUCCCAUCUCUACGUACAUUAGCUUUCCUUCCAACCCUUUAUUAUUAAGUUUUUUUUUCUUUUUUUUGGGGGAGAGAAAAGAACCUCAAAGAAUCUCUUCCUUCUCUUUACCAGUAAUUACUAGUCCCCACCCCACCACUACAAAAAGAUAAGGUGCGAACCGAUUAAGAGAUCACUCAGAAGCGCAUUAUUAUGGCUAACCCUUUAAACUACGACCACUACUGCUUCUCUUGCACAGUCUUAUCACUGCUCAUUUCGCUGCAUGCGGCGGCUACCAUUGCGAGCCAAGUGCAGGCGAAUAGCGCAACAACUCCACCUUUCCCAUCCUUCCGCUGCCUUUCCUAUUCUCAGCUGAAAUGGCAGCAGAGAGAGAUCAUCAUGUUUUUCCACUUUGGAGUCAACACAUUCACGGACUCCGAGUGGGGCACCGGGCGAGAAAACCCGGCCAUCUUCAAUCCAACAGUCCUAGACGCCGCCCAGUGGGUUGAUACGGCCGUCCAAGCUGGCGUUUCUCUGGUCAUACUUACUGCUAAACAUCACGAUGGCUUUUGCUUAUGGCCCUCUAAGUACACCGAUCAUUCCGUCAUCAGCAGCCCUUGGCGAAAUGGCAAGGGGGACGUCGUUCAGGAGCUCGUCAAUGCAGCCAGCCCUCGCGGGGUGGACGUCGGAUUGUACCUUUCUCCGUGGGAUCGUCAUGAUCCAAGAUACGGCAAGAAUAAGGAGUACAACGAAUACUACCUGGCUCAGCUACAAGAAUUACUACGCAAGUGAGUCGAUACGCUCGCUUUUUCAUCAGGACUGUUUCGGUUUGAUUUUUAUGGGUUUAUUUGUUUGAUUAUUAAUUAUUAUUAUUGUUGUUGUGACUGAGCGAUCGAUGACAGAUACGGAAGUGUGAAGGAAAUAUGGUUUGACGGAGCCAAGGGUUCCAAUGCAACAAACAUGACGUAUGAUUUCGGUGACUGGUUUUCAUUGGUGAGGGAACUGCAGAGCUCCAUCAACAUAUUCUCGGAUGCUGGUCCGGACGUCAGGUGGGUCGGAAAUGAGCAAGGGUUCGCCGGAAGCACAUGCUGGUCCACCAUUAAUCGAACCGCCUUAUCAAUUGGCAACGCUAGCAUCGUCGGGUAAGUAUAUAAACUCUUACACGAUAUAUAGUAGUUCCAUCUAUCGAUCUCCCUUUCAUUAAAAAAAAAAAGAAAAAAAAAAAAGGAAAAAAGGAAGCUAAUCUACAAGCUGAUUUAGAAUCUUUAGAAUGAAAGAGGCAGACCAUCCAUCAUCUUUAACUUUGUUUCCAGCCAAAUAUUUACUGAUUUUGUCAAUAAUCAAUAACACUUGGAAUUUAGUGCGAGACAAUCAUGAAAGCAUGCACAGAAUCUCCUUGUCUCUUCUCUAUUAAUUCUAGAUGGUGAGUUAAUUAUUUAUUGACAAGGUAAACAUAUGUCGAGUAUCUUGACCUUUACAUUACGAUUGAAAAAAAAAUUCUCGCUCAGAUUAAUAUUAUUAUUUGUAGGUGUUAUUAUUACUAAUAUCAUGAUAUUAUUUGUAUAAAACCAAAACAUUUCUGUUGAUACCACCAACAGAAAUGAAUAGUAAUAUUUCUAGCUUGCAGUCAAAACAUCAUGGAUUUUAACCCAUAACAUUAAGUUUUUUUUUUUUUUAAAAAAAAAAAACCCCAUAAUAUGACAUUGAUUAACGGCAUUAUUUUUCUUAUCCUGCACAAUCAAUAAUCCAGUCUUAGCCAUUAAUCACUACUGUUAUACAAUCAGUAAACAUCAGAAGAAUUGACAUUGACAAGUGCAAACACGGCACUAGAAAAUAAGAAGACAAGAAGAAGCCGGGAGUGGGGAGUAACAUUUACGAUAAAAGUAACGUAAGAUCCACAAAACAAAAAAGAGUUUUUUUUUUUCCAAAUCGAAUCGAAUAAUGCUUAUUAUUUUUCGAUGAUAAAAUGGUGCAGUUAUCUCAACACCGGCGAUCCCAAAGGCACCGACUGGCUACCCCCGAAUGCGACGUCUCAAUUCGAACCGGGUGGUUUUGGCAUAAAUCCCAAUCCCCCAAGCCACUCCACCAACUCCUUCAAAUUUACUACAACUCCGUCGGAAGAAAUUGCGUCUUACUCCUUAACGUGCCCCUAAUCCCACAGGCCUCAUUUCCGAAAGCGACAUCCUGAGGCUCAGAGAAUUUAGAAAAGCAAUUGACACCGUAUUCUCCUCCAAUCUGGCUGAAAAUUGUUCCGCUACGGCCAGCAGCCAACGCGGAGGUAAAGACGGCGGUUUUGGCCCAGAAAACGUCGUGGAUGGGGACCACCUGUGGACGUACUGGGCCCCCAGUGACGACGACGACGACGACAAAGAACAUCACUGGAUAGAAUUCAGAGCCUCCGACGGACCGCUGAGAUUCAAUGUGGUUAGGAUUCAGGAAGCGAUCGGGUUGGGGCAGAGGAUCCGACAGCACGAAGUGUACGCGGAUGGGAAGAGGAUUGCCAGCGGAACGACGGUGGGCCACAAGAGGCUGCACAGGCUGGAAAAGGGUGCGGUGCACGCUCUCAGCGUAAAGAUAAAAAUCACGGGAUCACGGGCAACACCCUUGCUAUCCUCUGUGGGUCUGCAUUUCGAUCCCUUUUGGCACCCAAAUCCAAAUGGCCAGCCUCCAUCCAAAUUCGUCCGUUAGUAAGAAAAAGAUAGAUCGUCUGUGCGAAGAGGCCGCCGAAACCUCUGUUUUACCUGCGGGCGGACCUUACGAUGGAUGGGUGGAUGCAUCCAUUGCUGUGGUAAGAGCAGCGUAUCUCUGUGUACCGGGCCUUUUGGCCUCCAUCCAAAUAAUUAUUAGCAUAUAUACGAGGGGUUCCGUUCUAUGAUGAAUUAUGACGGAAGGGGCUAACAAUUGCUUUCGACACACACCCAUAAUCAUAGUUACAAGGACUAAAGCAAAACAUUCUCUCCAACCGCAAAACAAUCCCGUGGGAAUCCAGGAGCCUGUCAUCCAGGCUUUGUACUCUCCAACCGCAAAAUUUGAGACAAACAGAUUCAUGCAUGCUGUUAUCGAAUGUAUUAUACAAGUUCUUACAACAACAUUGACGGCGCCCUUGCCAUCAAAAAUCCAAACACAUUCCUCAACCCGUUGUUGAACUAGAGGGGUCAAAGUAUUACACAGUAAAUCACAAAGCGGCUUUGUGUUGAAAUUGAAACCUGUGCAUAUAAAGCUUUUGUAGGCACUCACCAGUCUCCAUUCACCAAUAACUGUACGCUCGUGAGCCGCUGCAGCUUACCAUACUUGUAUUGUACCCCCCAAACUGCACCUACUGCUGCCUGCCACCAUUCGCACAACCGAUUGAUGACACGGACUUGGACAAAUUUCAUGCUGAUGAGCAAGAAUUUUUCACUGGCGGCUUCUUCAACAUCUUGUCGUCCACUUUUUAGCUGAAUUCUUCGUUCCUAUGUGCAUAACCAUUUGGCAUAUACUCACAACAGGGAAAUAAAAAAAUAAAAAAAAAAAGGGAGAAUGAUUGUGGAGAUCUCACCAAACUAAAUAAAUAAAUUAGAGCAACACGUCACGCCCAUUUCACUGAUAUUCUGGUUCUCUCAUAGUUGACAAAAAGGCUACUACCUUUGGCAAUUCUGUGAAUUUUACUGGGGCUUUCUUUGUUCAAUUCUGCCAUGAAGCAUGUCCUCCUCAUUUAGGAGUCAUUACUAUUAACAAAGAUACGUCACUCGGACACCUUUUCCUCUUCUGAACAUUUUUCUGUUUCUGUGAGUAAAUUGGAAGAAGUACAAAAUUCACCCAAGGAUUUCGAAUAUGAAGGGAAAUAGGAAAAAAAAAACAUAAAGAUAAUCAAUAAACAGUUCUUGAUGAUUCUCAAAGUUUUCAUCGGUAAAGUGGGAGAUGCCAAGCAAUCAAGUUACCCACAGCUGACAAUGUGAAACUGCAACACGUAAAUGUCUUGGCCCUUAUAGAAAACCCUCGAUACCUCGUCCUGCUUGUACUUCUCUAUAUAUGAGCAAGGCUUCUUCCAUAACUUUUGCUUGAGCCAAUAACUGAGCUCUCUUUUUUCCUGACGGGUGAGUAGAAAGAUAAUCCGUAGUGCUGAUUCACCCGUUACCUUACCCAGCUUCUCAAACACCCUGGGAGCCACUCGAGGAUCAUACCCUGCAGAAGCCAUUAAAAGUAGCCCAAUGUAAUCUGCUUCCAUCUCCAUCCUACAAGGGAACGUAAAUGUAAGUGACAAUAAGUUGUACAAGGUUAUCAAAGGCAAGAAAUGAAAAUACAAACCUGGCAGAUUCAUCAGCAAGUAAUGCCUAGCCAAUUAAAAUUCAAGCACAAGUUUGCAUUAUUUUGGUCACCAGUGGUGCAGCAAUACUUCAGACUUCAGAGAGUAACCAAGACACAGACUGAAUGCAGUUGUUAACAAGUUUCUCCAGAGCUUUCAAUAUCUAUAAGAAUGAAGACACAAUUGUUCUUCUUUCCUAGUGGUCCCAAGAAGUUUGAGCCAUAAAACAUAUUCAAGUUAAGUUAGAUACGGUCAAAAUCUCUCAAUCACCUUUAUCUGGUUCAAGAAUCUCAAAGAUUAAAGUACUUCUCUCCCAUGCUAUAUACCCGCCUCUCCCUCUCUGUUUGUUGCACUUGAACGCCAUAAAUAUAUAGAACAUAACUCCAUGCCUCCCAGUGCUUUUCCACUCUUCUCUUAUACUUCUAUGUGCCACACUUCGUUUUUCAGUAUACAAGAAGGUUAGUCUUGUCUCUUUUGUUUUACAAUUUUAUUAGAAAUUGUUUGUGAAUGAAGUCACAUGCAGCAAGACUAACUUAAGGUAGUAUCGCUCAACAACUGUGAUAGAUGAGGUACUCAAUGAGGAUCUAGAUUAAGAUGCACUACACAAUGUCCUGUAUUACUAAAUAGUUUCCUGAACUUGUAUCCUGCCAAAUGAACUGAUUACUGACAGGUUAAUUCUGAAAAUAGCUUGUUACCCAUCUUCUAAAACAACUUCUUACAAGAAUAUAGUCAUAUACAGAUUAUAACACAGUACUUAAAAGGGAAAAAUGGGCAUAGCUGAACUGACAGCUGGCACCACAAGGCUCCCUCUAUCAAACAAUUCUAAGCAUGUAUAGGCAGGGAGAGUGAGAAAAUACCCUGUUUCUUACUUUCCAAACAUUUAGCAUUGAGUAUGAGCUAGUGGAAAGAAAGUACAGUUUCAACAUUUCUCCACAAACCUACCACAUAGACCAAUAUAACUCUUAAUAUUUGGUAUGGCAGUCCAAAAGUAAUCAAUCCACAGAAAUGGUUCUCAUAUAUAUCAGACAGCAUUCCUAACAAAAACUGGAAAAGCACAUGAAAAUCCUAUGUUAUUCCCAGGUACAUAAAUAGAGAUAAUAAGACGUGUGAGAGAAAGGAAAAAGCAAAGAGCACAGCAAUAAGAAUAGCAACCAAAGCAUCACAUUAACUGAAGCCAAAGAUUUCACAGACAACACUAUCCAAUCAUACACAGCAGGUGCAUUCAAGAAUACAACAUGUUGCAUUUUCCAAUGCAUUGAAUGCUCAAUAAUUUGCAGAAAACUUGUAGCCAAUUCACCACAACUGUAUGGGAUUGAUAGUCAAGAUUUUCAGAACCAAAAACUGAAAUAGUCAGCAAUUUUAGGUCUCUCACGGGAAAAAGUCUUGCAUAUGAGCAUAACUACCGACUUGCUAUGUUAAAAAACAAGGCAAAAUCUCCAUGUGUUCUAGUUGAUGGCUGUAAAGUCACCUAGUUGUAAUUCUGCAUUAGCUAAACCAUUCCCGAAAGUAUAUUCACCAGCAAUUCCUAUCACAACUAAUGCCCUUAUUAUUAGUUCAUUCCCUUGUAAAACCAAAAAAGAGAACUCAGAAUUGCAGUUUUAUCGGCUUGUCUCUAACAAGGUUUCAGUUGCAAGCCUAAGACAUUUACAUCUCAAAAGCAUGGCACCUUUCAGAAUCCAUAAUGCACAUAAGGAUAGUAUGUAAACAAGCAAUCAAACAUAUAGCUCAGUUGCACGCCUAACAAGGUUUCAGUUGCAAGCCUAAGACAUUUACAUCUCAAAAGCAUGGCACCUUUCAGUAUCCAUAAUGCACGUAAAGAUAGUAGGUAAACAAGCAAUCAAACAUAUAGCUCAAAAGGUCACCAUCUGCAAAAUCAAAUUUUUAGCCACAUAUGUUGGCAUCACUGAUAGGGAUCUCUUGAAUCUUAGGACAAUGCAAAAAGUUAUAGAGAUAUGACAUGAUGUGAGAACCCAAUGUCCUUAGCACAACAAUAACGAUGUUAGCAAAUCAAACUUUGAAGCUCUUAUAUUAAAGAAAAGCUGCCAUACAAAUCGUACACAUUAAACAUUUACCUCCUUGAGAAAGGAAGCCGUAGGAAAAGAUUAGACAUUGUAUUGACAACAUCAGGCAUGACAAAUUGAUAUAAAAUCAAUUGCACAAUCGCAAACCACAGGUUUUUAGUAAUUCCUUCAGCAGCAUGUCUAGCCACAGCAUGAGCAACCUAUCAAGCAAAAGGUUUCAGCUAAUUCAGAACAACUUGAUUAAAUGUGCAAAGAGAAACAAAAUUACAAUUCAUUAAAUAAGCCAAAAAUACAAAAUAAUACUAAUUGAUUAAAUGUGCGAAAAGCACGAAAUUACACCUCAUGUCCAAGUAUAGUUGCAAUCUCAGCAUCAGUUCUAAAAUGCUCAAGCAACCCCGUGAAAACUACAAUCUUACCACCAGGCAAACAAAAUGCAUUCACAACAGGUUCAUUAACCACCAAAACCUCCCAAUUUAAACCCUCCAAAUGUCCAGUUGCAGGUGACUUCCCCUUCUCUUGACCGCUCUUCCGGCUUUGUUGGACCCACUUAUCAUCAAGGAUCUCAUCCUCCCUGUUCCAUUUCCCUUCAGUGGUAGACAUAUUAUCACUCAAUGCCAUCAAGGUCUCAUGUCCACUGUUCUCAUCUGGCUCAUAUGCAUGGUCAGAUGCAUAGCCAGGAUCAGUCCACAUGUGCUCCUUGCUCAGCCCUCGUUGCAGAGCCUCGAUGAGGUCUUUUGCAAUCAACCUCACUCUAACACUCUCCGGGUGGAUGGGUGGCAGAAUUUUCCCCUUGAACGCCUUUUUCAUGUCCUGGAACUGAUGCUCCCCAAGCGCUGUCUCUCAAGACCUUUGGACAAAAGCACAAAAUGGGUUCUUUUGGUAUAAGGAACAGUUUCCAAGUUACCAAAAUAAACAGUAAUCACCACCCCUGAACCCACCAAAAUCACAAUGAACACAUUUCUUGGAUUCUGAAACCAUUUUUUGUACCCUCGGGGCCGAAAGUGAUAAAUUUGGUGCCGAUCAACAUAGUAAUAUCUUCUUGCCCCACCUAAAGAAGGGCGGCACUGAUUUUGCUUGAGCCCCAAUUGAAAACCUGAGUUUCUGAAAAUCGGUGCACAAAGGCCAAAUCCGUUAGCCCUGGAUGUAUUACGGGUGGAAGUAUAAGAAGCAUACUGUGGCUGGUAGGGCUUUGGAAGGGAGUUUGUGAUCGGGCUUUUGGGCACAAUCUUAGUAGUGAAGGUCUUAAAGGCAUCAACAACUAAUUUAGAUCUUCUGUACCAUGCCAUGGUGUCGCAAAUUGCAAUAAAUGGGCAUUAAUCAGGUCCCAAAAUCAUCUUUUGAGGGUUUUGUUGAGAAACAAAUUGAGAAACUCGGAUGUGAAGAGGGGAAGAACAGAGAGAGAGGAAUUGGAAGGUCAAAAAUGGGAACUUGAGGGAAGGGGUUUAAAAUUUAAUAUUUGUGAUGUUUUGGGACGUGAAAUGACUCUGGAGAAUGAUGCAUCGAGGAGGAAAUUAGGGGGACGAGUGUGGAACUGUGUAUCGACCAGUUUCGAUGUCGUCCCACGUCCGCAGGAGAAGCAACUAGUAUAAACCAGCGGGGAAAAGAAACGAAGAAAGAAACUCUUCUUGCUAGUGCCCGGCAGCCGUAAUAUCCUACGUGCCUUUUUUUUUUUUCAAAAAAAAAUUAUGGUCAUUGUAAUGUAAAGAAACUCUUUUAGAGCGGUGUUAUAAAUUUAUAAAUAAUCAACCAUUCUCGAUAACUCCAGUCCGUGCAAAUUCAAGGAAAGGAGUAGUGCGUCUCCUCAAUCCUCAUUCGAUCCUAGCACAGAAGUACCCAUCUGAGUUUUUUCUGCAACAGCACAAGUUUAGAGUAAGAAUUUGCAGUAACUGGCUUGUUAGAAGAAUUCGCUCAUAUCAGUUUUCUCAGAACUUUUUUAUUUUUCUUUAUUAUCCGAAACUGUUUGAAAGAAAUUAAAUCAGUAGGCGACAAUUUCUUGUGCAUUUUAGCUGGAUAGGCCUUGCCAAGUUCUUCCUCCCGCGAGUACUACUGCGCCAUUUAUCAAUGAUAAGUUUUCAGUGUAUCAUACAUGACUACAUAGCACUAGCGUCCGUUUCAGCGAGCGGGCACACAAAAAAAAGAGGAGCAGGAGGAAAAAUUAUCCAGCGCGUCCGACGUUGUUCGGCGAAAAUAAAAUAUAUCUCCCAAACAUCUAAGAUGAUUCGAUAAUUAAUUGAAGAUACACUGAGCUCUAUCGCAGAUUGAAGAUACAAAUCUCCCAGUUUCUGCAAAAUGAAGGACCUAAGAUGGGGAACCCAGCAAAACCCCCAAAACUCUCUAUUGUAGAAUUAUAAUCUGGGGAAAAAAUGGGACAUACAUAGAAACCGAAACAUACAGGCACCAGAUAUGGGAUGCACCUACUAAAAAAUUGUCAAUUGAAUUGCUUAAUUAAGAAAAACAGAAUAACUCAUAAAAACCACCACAAAAUUUCAAGCUGCCAUUUCGGCAAGAAAGCUUCACCAUUUACGGUUGUUAUUUCUGAAACCUCCCCCACCGCUUGGACUUUUGGAGAACUGACCAUUCCUCCUAUCAGAUGAACCGCCUCUUCCCCCUCUUCCCCAGAGAACCGAUUACCACCCCCCCUCCUAUCAGAAAAGCCACCACGACCACCACUUCCAAAUCUUCCACCUCUUACCUGGUCUCUAUCUUGCAACCGUGGCAAUAACUUCACAACAUCCAAGCUAACCCCACCAGCACCUUCCUGGCCUGCACCACAAGUGGAGGAAAAAAAUUUUUUGAGUACAAAAACUAAAUCAAGAAAUACAAGUAUUUCCAUUUUAGGAAGGCAAUAGUUGCAAUUUCAGUGACCCUCUGCCUUUCAUAGGUGUCAGAAAUUUCAUCUUAUUAAUUGAAAGAUGAAUCUUUGUCAUGAAUAAUAUUGCAAAUCACCUCUAAUAUUUACCAAGACCACAUUAUUUCUAUAUCAAGGGGUAAAGAAUGAAAUGUACCCUUGACAAAAAAGUCCAGAUCUUCAGCAGCCACAUCAAACACGGCCCCUUUUCCAUCAGCCGUUAAAGCAAGACCCUUAAUUGACUCGACCUUUUCUUCAGGUAAGAACCUUCGCAGCACACUGUAAGCAAAGCUGCCACAAGUAGACAUCAAAAGGAUUAUUAAGGCAGAGAAUGACACACAUAAAAAAGCACAAACAAUUGCUCAACCAACUCCACUCUAUACCAUGCCUACAUGCAGAACACUAGGAUGCAGUUUCUAAGUUUUGGACCAUAGUCCAAUACCUUUUUUGUUUUUGAGGCAAAGCGAAAGCAAAAGUAACACAGUAUUAGCUAAAAUUCAAGACUCAUCCCAUGUUAGCAUGCAUUACAAUCGGCAUAAGAAACUUUUAUCUACAAAGAACAAGUUUCAAUCUCCAACUUAAGAAUCAAAUCACUGCACAUUAUGUUGGCCAAUUUAAAAAUGGUACGCUCACAAUCCAAAAACAAGUCAGCCAAAACCAUCAAGCCCAAAAUUGUUAUCUGUAUUAUGUGGGAAAAUGCAAAGUGUUUGUUUUCAUAUUCAUUCCGAAUUUGCUUUCUGGCAAUAAGGGAAACUGAAAGAAUAAUAAUCUCAAGGGGUUUUACAUGCCAACAAAAAACCAAGUCAGUCGAGCACAAGCAGCGGCACUAUCAAGAUUAAAUCUAAAAGGAUUCUAGUGCUUACGAGGGCGUGUAGAUGGGCCUUCCACACUCCAGUAGUAACGUGACAUGGUUUUCCAUGGAAGUAAGGAUUGAACGACUCUUGAUCUCUGAAUAACCCUGCCCAUCAUGUAAAACUGAAUUCAUCAGCUGCUGCACUAUAAGAAAUUGACGAUAUGUACAUAAUAUAAUACAGAGAGAGAGAGAAACCUACAGCAGCCUUGGCAAGAGCUUUUGCAAGAAGUUCUACUGGGGAUAAAUUAGAGUUGUUCAGUAGCUCCUCUGCAGCAGCCUUAAAUGCCGGAAUGACGCUGCAAUUUUACAUUAUAUGCAAAAGUAUAAGCUGCAGUAAAGUACUUUAAAACAAACUUGAAUGAGUAGUAUAUGAACCUGUCAGAGAUUUGGGAAAUUUUUUCUGCAGCUUCUGCACCAGCUGCUUCAGCAAUAUCAGCUGGCUGUGGAGCAGAUACAUGUUCAAACUUCACACCACAUUCUCUUUCUAUCUUAGAAAUGUUUGAUCUCCUAGGAUCAUAAAGCAUUACAGCAACACCAGUGUUCCCUGAAGAAAGAGGCAAGACGAUCAAUAGGCAUUCAACAUUUCAAACAUCCAAAGUCACUGAUAUCCAAGGAUCCACAACUCACCCGCUCUGCCUGUACGUCCAGAACGAUGGAUAUAUGCUUCUACAUCUCGUGGGGGCUCACACUGCAAAAUUAAACAUCACUGCAUACAAUAAGUAAACAAGGUUUUACAAUCAAGAAAUGCGAGAUAUUUGGAAUAGUAAAGACAAACCUGGAUUAUCAACUGGACAUUGUCAAUGUCCAAUCCACGUGCUGCCACAUUUGUGGCCACUAAUGUGGUGAACUUCCCGGAUCUGAAGCCACUGAGUGUAACCUGAAUGCAAGGUGGUUUUCAUCAGUCAAAAGCUGAAGACAUCAACCUAAAAAUCUAAACUUAGAUUCAACCAAUAGGAAUAUACGAGAUUGUCCAAACAUAUGGUACAAUAUCUUAUACUUGACACUAGAAAGUCAGCAGAAAGAUAACAGUGAAUUUUGUGUGCCAAAAUGACUUGUAACUCAGCAUCAUUUCCUAUUGGCAAGAGUUGUGGCUCCUUAAUUUACUGCUUUUCCUCCACCCAAUUACAGUUUAAUAUAGAAGUAUUCCCAUAAUCGGGAACUGGACUGAGAAAUAAGGGGGCCAGAAAAAAUAAUCAACAGUAUUGGAAACCUUUAAUUUCAUUUAGUUCCCAAAAGCGCACACUUUACCUCUCGCUGGGACUGCUGUAUGUCACCAUGCAAAGCACGUGCUCCUGGCAAUAAGCCAGCAAGUUCAGAAGCUGAAUCCUUUGUCUCAGUGAAAAUAAUAGUUUGACCUCCUCUGAAUCAACAAAAUCGUAUGGUAAUACAUCAGGAUGCACUUCAUUAACUUCAUGAACAGGCAAAACUUUUAGCAAAAGAAUAUUGACCAGAAAAAACCUGCUAUAGCAAUGAAUAAUGUCAGGAAUAAGUUGGGCUCUUGCUGAAGUAGAGCAAGGCAGGACAAUAUGCCUGACACUUGCACUAGCCUUCAUUUUCUCAUUGCCAAUUAGGUCUGCAGUUUUCUUAUCAGGUUUCAGGAACUUGGCUGCAAUCUGAACAUGCAAAUCAAAUGUCAGCCUUGUAGGAGUGUAGGAGAAGUACAAAGGUAGGUUGCAAAACAGCAUCUAGCAACAGAGAGCAGAACUUCUCUAAUCCAGAAAAAAAGCUAAAAAUGAUUUCCCGUUUUAAACUCUGAUCUCAGUAUGAAGAUAGUGAUACUCAGCAAUAGAAAAGGACAUACUUGCUUCACCCAAUCAGGUAACGUGGCACUAAAAAGGAGUGUUUGAACUUCGCUUGCACUUUCAACCUUGCCUUUGGGUUCAAAAGCAAAUUGUCAUUGACAGUAGUAAAAAACAAAAUACCAGCAAACUUAACAACUUCCAAGCAUCUAAAAGAGAACUAUUAAAAUAAUUUACAUACCUAGAAUAAACUCAACAUCGUCAACAAAACCCAUCUUCAGCAUUUCAUCAGCUUCAUCAAGAACACGGAACCUCAAUGAGCUGAAGUUGAUAUUCUCCCUCUCUAUGUGAUCCUGUAGCGUUCCAAAGGCAAACAAUCACUCGUCAGAACAACUCAAAUUUCCGCAAACCUAGAAAAGAUGAUGUAGCAAUAAAGCAUGGUACCUUAACACGGCCAGUAGUGCCUAUUACUAUGUCAACCCCUCUUUUUAGUUGAAUCUCUUGCUGUCUGUAAGGGGAUUGCCGUAUAUACAACAAGAUGUCAGACCCAAUGCUCCUCCAUACAGUUCAAAGUCAGUAAACACCUAACAAAUGGGAGUAAAAGAGGAGGAAACAAGAUAAGGCAACAGAAUUUGGUGGAGGUGACCAAAAUCCACAAAGGUUUUAUAAGGAGAGUUCCCAGGAUCAUACCUGGCAGGCCAAUUCCCUAGUGGGUAAAAGUACAAGAACACUAGGUGCCCUCCCGUAUCCAGUCUUUCGUGCUGCUUUUGCAGGCCAUUUGUCAAGGACUCCAGUAUAGGCAGCACAAAGGCCAACGUUUUACCCUAUAUUUAAAAACAAAAAUUUCAUCAGCCUAAAUUAACAAAUUUAUCCAGAAUAAUUUCAAGAAAAACGAAGCUAGGAACAGUCCAAGACCCCACUUUUAUUUUACCCAUGCUAUUCGGAAACAUUCUCUCCAAGCUCAUACAAGAUUCUUGUGCAAAUAUUUAUAAUUAGUACUCAAAAAGGAAUACUGCAGAAUUACAAAGGGAAUAUACCUGACCAGUGCGAGCUCGACCGACCAAAUCAGACCCAUCCAAAAUGGUAUCAAAAGUCAUGGCCUGAAUCGGAAACAAAUAUUCAAUUCCCUUUACUUUCAAUGCCUCUCUCAACCUCUCCGAUAUCCUAAACUUCGUUAAAGCAUUCGGAUGCUCCUCUUUCACACUCUUCUCCUCAUCAUCUUCGUCUACCUCCGUUAACUUAGCCUUUUUCUUCAUCAAAUUCAUCGGCUCCCCCAACUCCGAGCUCGUAUCACUCCUCUCCUCUUCAUUGACAUUGUCACCGUCAAUCUCCGCCGCCUUUCGCUUCUUCUCCUUCUUCUUCUUCUUCUUCAGUUCUUCGGAAUCAGAGUCCGAAUUACUGAUCUUGGUCUUUUUUGACUUCUUCUCUUUCUUAAAUUUUUGCUCCAUGGAAGAGUCCAAUUCAGGGGAUUUUUGAGCCUCGGCUUCGGCGUUUUUCACUUUCUUCUUUUUCCUGUCUUUGGAAGUCUCUAUGAACAGUUUCCAGAAACGGCUAAUGAAGGCAUGACGUUACCUUAAGGCUUAAAGUAUGGAAGUCUGUGUAUCGGUAGGUGAGUUAGUGCGUGUUUUCUUGUUCUCCUGCUAUCGAAGGUGAAUUGCACUGGAACUGCAAUUGCAGGAGAGCAGAAACACAAAAAAGAGGGAAGAAAACGUUCUAGGGUUUGAGAAUAUAUAGGCUGCGGCGGUGAGGCAUCGGGACCGUUGGAUUGUGGCUUUUUUUCCAGCUUCAUUCUACUGCUUAAUUGCCGUUAGAUCGCAACGCUAAUUAGUUGCCAGCGUGUAUUUGUAGUAAUUCUCCGGAUCAAGAACGAAAACAAACAGAAAUUAAAAAGGGUCAAAGCUUAAUACCCGCAGCUGGUACUUGGGCCUUUGCGUAAGAAUUUCGAUGCCCAUAAUUAAAAAAGCCCAAGUAGGCCUGGCGUUGCAACAGCCUACACAUCAUUACUUGCUGGGCCAUAAUCAGAUUUGGUCCAAUUUGAAGCACAUAGGGCAAAAAAAAUUAAAAAAAAAGAAAUAAAAAGGGGUGGUUUGGUAAUGUUUAUGUUGGUCAAAUUCUACUAACAAAAUCCUAAAAGCAAGCAUUUGCUAGAAUUGUUCAUGUUUUUAUAACAUAAUAUAAUAAUAGAAACUUUUUAAAAAGAGGGGAAAAUUAUUGCAUUUAAUUUUGUUACGAGAAUGCAUCUUCUACGGCUUUUGAAAAGCUAAACAUGCAUAUUUAUUCCCAAAGUUCUUGAAACUCUCGUGCUCUAGGGUGCGUUUGAUAAAACUGAAGUUUGAAUUAUUAAGUAUAUUAAAUGUAAUACAUUUGAGUGCAUAUCACAUUCAGUAAUAAGUGAAUAGUUUAUCACUUAAUUUUAAAAGUAAGUUUUACUUAAAAAUUUAGUACAUUUAAUUACUUCAAAUAUUUAAUUUUUCGUUAUCAAACAACCUGGCUGAAUUCAUUAAAUUUAAAUAUUAAAAUGAAUUAUCAAACAGGAUCUAAAUUGGGACUUCUCGACUACAGCCUAGGUUCACUUCAUACAUGCCAUAUCGAUAAUUAAUAUGAGAAAACGAUUUGUCAAAACACUACUGGAUUAAUUAUGCGAAGUAAAAGCUACACACCUACGGAGUUGAGUGUAAAAGAAAAAUUAACUUGCCAUGCCAGGCGUCCUUGUCGUUCACGUUCUAGGCAUUAAUACGUGAAAGUCUACACUCUACAUGUGCAUUUAAAAUUGCCUCCCUCGGCCUCUCGCAUAAACUGUUGUGUUCCUCCCGCCCAUUGCCUUUCCCUCCGUGAGGUCCACAAGGAAAGGCACCACAAUGUUCAGUGAAAGACUCAUGGCCUUGUACUAUUUUUUUUUUUUUUUUUUUAGCUCAUUAGAUUUUCUACGUAUUCACAAUCAAAAAAAAUUUUUUUUUAAAGAAAAAGUUAGUUUUGAUAGAAAUACCAAUAUGCAUAAUUUUUUUUUCUGCUAGUUACACAAACAUCAAGAGGGCCUCACCAAACUAGCUAGUUUAGAAUAAUUGUCGGCCAAAUUCUUUCAAGCAAUGUACAACAUUAGUAACAAGUUAUGAAUCACUACAAUCAGUGAAUUUGUGACAAGGUGUAAAAAGCAUAUGUGAAAAUUGAAAUGGAGAUGAGAUGUAGAUGCGCAGCGUUUCGUUUUUUUUUUUUUGGAUAUCAUGGCCAUCCAUCCAAAUCUGCGGAAUGGAAACUUGGCAGACGUCCUCAAUGAAAGUAAACACUCUAAACAAGUGAUGGAACAGAUGCUUAAUCCUUCAUUCUAAACAAGCGGUUGAAUUAGGACCACAGUCAAAAAGAUCUAACUUCCGGAUCUUCCAUCGUUGUCAACCUUCUUAAUUAACUUCCUCGUAUGUGAACAUAAUACGCCCAAUCCACAUACACAAUCACAGCUAUUUUCUGGUCUUUACCUCUUUAAUUAGGUGGCGGAAUACAGAGUUAGUUCUUCUUUGCUCAUAAAAACAAUUGUUGCAGACAAGCGUGAUUGAUUGCACCACCACUCUUCAUAUAUAAGACAUAUUCAUACUACUAUUGAUCUCGCGUCACCAUCCCUCAAGAAUUUGACCAACUUUCUGGCUUCUGCAUGCCCCCACAACAAAGGAUGAUCAUCUUUCGCCAACCUAAUGGCUAAUGGCUGGCUGAAAUGCGCAUCAUCUCCGAGCCAAUAAUACAAUACAAUUAAUGGAAACCCUAUUGACACCCCAACAAAAACCAAAAAAAAAAGCCCUUGUAUUGUUGCAAUGCACAUGUAUACAUGUCCAACAUUCUUCUAAUUGACAGAGAAAUGGAGCGUAUACAUAUGUAACACAAAUGUAUUUUGAGACCCAAAAAGUAUACAUAUACAUAUAUAUAUAUAUAUAUAUAUAUAUAUAUAUAUAUAUAUAUAUUACAGAAGAAAACCUAAUAUUUCAUGCAUGCUCCUUUUAAUCUAAAAUAAUACCCGCGUAAUGAGAAAUUCAGGUUAUCCCUUUCAUGCUCCGUUCUAUAUAUUUUUAAGAUAAGAAGAAAAGCAUUGAUGGAAUUAUCACCUGUAAACACCCUCUUUUUGUUUAACCCUCCUCAAAACCCCUCAACGGCUAUAUCAAAUGCAUCUUUAAUGCCUUCCAACCCUCGUUUGGUUUUGCAUACACAAUUCUUGGUAGAUAUUCGAUUACUUUUUCUCUCAUCAUUUUUACCUUCUCUUUGCUUAUGCUCUCAAGGACCGCUCUAAUUGACGUGGUUCCAUUCUGCACCUCUCUCCUGUGUAUGAACACCGAGUAACUGUCCGGUUGACUGGGUAAAAACCAAGCGUACUGCAUGUAAGCCGUUCUCCUCCAGAAGAAAACCGGGAUUGAACCGGCCACCAUGCAAUCAAAAAUGGACCGACGAGUGAAACUGUCACCUCUCGGCUGUAAACAAAAGUCCGAGUCCAGAAACGAUUCGAGAAUUGCUGAAGUCCCGUUAGAACACUUGGAGCCGGUGCAAUCCACGACUCGGCAAGCGUCCGAGUUGUUGUAGCACUGACUCAGUAACACUCCUCUAAAGUCGUUCCUGUAAAACCCGCGCGUGCCUCCCGCGAAGCAGUAUAGAGUCUUCCGCUGAUGUCGGCGUACAAAAUCCUGCCAGCCCGUGACGUCAGAGGCUGUGCUGGGGUGGAAUCCGGUGGGAUAUGGCACACCGACAUCGAAAUAGUCCCACGGGUUGCGCUCUAUCACCAAGCGCGUGAUGUUUCUCAUUCCGGGCAUGUAAAUACAGCUGGAUCCCAGACGCGGCCUUCGAUUCGGCGGAAAUCCCAUGUGAUCCGGCCCAUUGUAAUAAAAUGAUCCCAGCCGUGGGAUCUGUUCCAGUAAGGCUGAUUAUUCACCCAGUCCAGCAUCAUCUCGCAGUGCCGAUCGCGGUCCUCGAAUGUAUGAUUAUACCAUAGGUACUUUCCCACUGCUAGUCCCGCGUAAAAAGGAAUGUAGAACGCAGUAGCAGAUUCGGGCUCCAAACUUCUGCAACGAUAAUUCAUCAUUCGGUUGUGGUGAAGGAUCUCCAAAGGGAAUUGGUCAGUCCAGUGCCAUGCAUGCCUGAGAUUUUCGGGGACAAGUUUUGAAAUCCCAUUUGCGACUUUUCCGAAGCCAUGAUUCGAAAACAAGUCGCAGCCUGAGUUCCAGGGGCUCAGCUCAUGGCAAUUUUGUAGCAAUUCAUGGUUAAAAAAUGACGGGAGGUCAUAAACGUAGACUUUACCAUAUGGGCAGAGGACGGUCAAGUUCAGGGCCGUUUGGUUAGAGCCAUCAACAUCAAGGGUGGCGGAGUGACCAGGUGUGACGGUAGUGGAAGGAGGGAAGAGGAUUUUUGAGGGGUGGGAAGUGGUGAAGAAAGGGAGAGAGCGAGCGGAGAGGAGGAGGAAUAUGUGGAGGAGGAGAAUGGCGAGGAGGAGGCAUGUACCAGGAUGGCGAAAUGAGAGGUAAGGCUGAAAUAAGUUGGAGUAGUUCUUUCGGUUUGAUGAUAAUUCGGGUGGUGUUUUUGGGUUUUGAAGGGGGUUUAGAAGGAGGGGUUGUCAUAGAUAUAGGAAGCAUGAGAACAAGGAGGAGAAGCGUAUUCCGAUACCUACAAAGCAGGAAAAAAAAAAAACCUGGUAACGGCGAACUUUGGCCGGGAAAUCUGGUGGCGGCGCGGUUGAUAGGAAAAAAGAGAGGUGGGAGAAUUAGAUAGAGGAGAGAAGAGACGGGACUUCAGUUUGUAAAGCGAGUUUGUCCCGUUUAGUUUUUACUACCAUUUUAGGACGAAGGCUCGAGGCUGGGGUUGAGCAGACAAGUGAGAACUGAGAACGGUGGAAUGCGGAAUCAACCCUCGUCUACUCGCUGCAGCGUAAAACACUAAAUAUAAGUCAAGCAAGACUAAGAGCAGUAGCGGUACACAAUUUUCCGUUACAUUUCCUAAAGCCGAAAGCUUGCAAGAUAAAGCUUUGGCUAUUUCUCAAAUUAACAGUAGAAACCAUUCACACCUACAACUUCUUUGCAAUGUACUGUUGUUGUUUAAAGGAAAGUGAAGGGGAAGAAAAAAAAGACAGGUCGUUCAACAAUAGAGAAUACAGAACAGAGUUGGCAUUUUCUGUCAAGUUUCGUAUUCAGAAUUCAAUUAUUCUCACUCUAUGAGCUAGCGGGGAAAAGGAGAAAAAAGACAGAGAAAAACGAAAGCGACGUUAAUAUUGCCAUGUGUUGCAAAAUUGCCACGUUAAUGCGUGAAGUGAAAGGAAUGUGCAUGGAUGGAACAGCUGCUGUUUAAUCAUUAAUGGGGUGUAGUCCCGGGACGAUUAAGGACGAAGAAUCAAUCAUAUAUCCUUCUGAUUUUGAGGUCCCGGCACGAUUAAGGACUGAGGACAGGUCACAGGACAGGAGGAGCAACAAGAUGUGCCGGCCGGAAGUCUUGCGAUGCGAAACUUUGGACCAUGCAUUGCAUCCCUUCAGUUGUGGCAUCAAUGUCAUGGGACAUCUACACAUGGGCCGUCCACAGAACUGGACAUGGGCCAUGUGAGCGGGCCCAAAGCCGAUAUUCACAGAAAUUUUCAAUCUCUGGAAUUUCUCUUUUCUAAUCACGACUUCACAUAUGGGAGUAACAAAAUAGUAGUACUGCAGUAGUGUAUGAUUUCACAAUUCCAAGUCAUGAACAAAAUUUAUACAGCUUAUUACUGCUAUUGCUUUUAGUAGGGUAGGGGAAUGAUGGAAUUUAAUUGCAUUUUAAACAUUUUGUUUAAAUUACUUUUCUAUCCCCCGUUUAAGCAGCCUUUUGAAACUAAUUUGGCAACAAAAUAAGAGUUCUUUUGUUUAGUUUUGGCUGAGAUAAUAAAAUGCUUCUAAAUUACUAAUGCGUUUCCCAUGAAUCGUGAUCUUCUUCUUCUUCUUCAACUUAAGGAUUCCCGUACAUAUAAUCAGCACAUCCCACCCACUCGUGGCUGCGGGUCUCUGUUUCUCCUUGUUAAUUUUCUCUUCUGUCAAUAUUUGUUGUCUCCUUCACAGAACAAAUUGGGCAGGAAAAGGGAAAAAAAAAAAAACUCAAAAUAAGAGGAAUCAUCGUGUUGCUUAAACUCAAUCAGCACAGGAAUGCUGUGCAGCUCACAACAUUCAUCCUGUCCCCAGUGUUGAUCUCCUAAUAUGUACUUGCUUCGGAUGUCUAGGACUUCUAAAAUUAUGCCCUUUCCGCACCGGCUUUCGGAGACAUGAAAGUUUCUAUCAGUUUGGUAUCCAAUAAGCAAUUAACUCAAAAGACCAGAGCAGGGCAUAAGCUCGCUUUCCAGCACCAACCCCAUAAAUAGAAAAGGUAAAGAUUGAUCAUGGAUGGAGAAUAGAUUCUCGUUAAAGGUCUUGAACAAAGCAAGUUCUGAUCGAACUAGUUAAAAUCAGAAGGAAUUUCCACUACAGGAAUUAUUACAACUCCAGAUAAAGAUCAUAUUACAUUAUUAAGAACAUACAAAGAUAUACCGUGCUGCACCAAGUUUGGAAUACUCGAGAAUGUAUGGUGCUAUAUCAUUACUAUUCACUGC